AUGUAUUCACAGACAGCAUGAUUGCUAGUCUAGUUCAACUGAAAUUUCUAGAGAUAUCAAAUUGUGAGGAAUUGGAGCAAAUCAUUGCUAAGGAUAAUGAUGAUGAAAAGAAUCAGAUAUUUUCAGGAAGUGACCUCCAAUCUCCAUGCUUCCCUAAUUUGUGUCGACUUGAGAUCACAGGAUGCAACAAGUUGAAGAGUCUCUUCCCGGUAGCCAUGGCUUCAGGUCUCAAAAAGCUCCAGAUACUUAAAGUAAGAGAAUCCUCUCAAUUAUUGGGAGUAUUUGGGCAGGGUGAUCAUGCUUCACCUGUCAAUGUUGAGAAGGAGGUGGUGCUCCCUCAUCUGUUGCAGCUGAUUCUAGAAGAAUUACCAAGCAUUGUCUACUUCAGUCAUGGAUGUUAUGAUUUCAUAUUCCCUCGUUUGUGGAACUUGGAGGUGCGUCAAUGUCCAAAGCUGACCACAAGAUUUGCUACUACAUCAAAUGGUUCAAUGAGUGCUCAAUCAGAGGUGUUGCAUAUUUGACAUGAUUUCUUGCCUCUCUUUAAGUGUUUUUAUUUCUUGUUUCCCUCAAUAAUAAGACUUACAAGUUAGAAUAUGUAUGCCAUGCUUGAAUUGGCUUUGCAGGUAUCUCAAGUAGCUGAGGGUUCCAGCACUGGUUGCUCCGUGCCAACCAGCAGUUGUAGAACGUGGACCUCAUAUAAUGGGUGGGAAGAGGAAAAAGAGGAAGAGGAUGGAGUCAGAUGAUUAGUUUGGCAUUGGAAUUUGAAAAGCAUGCUAGUAAUUCAUUCUUGCAGGUAAAAUGGCUGCAACUAUUUAUCUUGUAUCCUUGUUUAAAUGGUUGGAUUAAAUCAACAAAUACGAGAUGCCUGGAUGAUCUUUGUUCUUGAUGUUUGCAUUAGGUUGGGUUGGUUGGUUACCUAUGUGAUGAUCAACUCGACAUUGGUGGGAAGUAAUUCCAGCUGUUUCAUUAGCUACAACAAUUUGUCUUAUUUCAUGUGUUUGUUGUGUGAACUUCCAGAAAUAUUGUGUGUUUAAUAAUUUAUUGUGCGAACCUUCAAAAAAGGGCUUUUGUUUGUUUGCCCAUUUGUGUUUCUUUUUCAAGUGUCUGAACCUUUGGAAGUUUCCACAGUUCCUGACAGCUUAGGUUAAGGCUACAAUAGGGAGUAGUGUUGUAAUCUUUCAACACCUACUAUGAGACAGAUUGUACUUUAUAACAAAACUCUGUGAAGACAUGGAAGGGGGUCCUGUCAAUUAAUGAAUAAAACUUUGUCAAAAUGAUUGCCAACUUUGCUUUCACGGCAGAUACAAUUAAUUAAUACUUUGAUGGGUAAUGUCAUGUGUUUUUAUACAAUAUUUAUUUUAAUUAAAAAUAUAUUAAAAUAAUAUUUUUUAAAUAUUGAUAUAUUAAAAUUAUUAAAAAAACAUAUAAAAACAUUGAUUUAAUGUUUUUUUUUAAAUUAAAUCAAUUUUAAAAACAUUUUAAGAAAAUAAAUUGAAUAGUAAAAACAAUUGAGAUUGUGGUAAUUAUUGUUUUUCAAGUGUUUUUUAUUAAAAAAUAAAUCAAGAUAAUAUAUUAAUUUAAUUUUUUUAAAAAUUCAUCUACUUUGCCUUCACCAAAAUACAAUUCUUUUGUAUUCUUGUGUCAUUAAACAUUUCAUAGUGAUAGUGCAAUGGAAUCUCGAGAUUUUAAUUUUUUUUUCAUCUUAUUUCUAAAUUUGGAACAAUUACUCAACAUUCUUGCUCUUAUUUUUGAACAAAAUAGACGUGCUAUUUUUAAUAGUUGAUACUAUAUGUCAUAUCAAAUUGAUUAUAUAUAUAUAUAUAUAAUCAAUUUACAAAUUUAUUGACAGAAUAUGAAAUUCCAAUAUAUAAGUAAAAGGAUAAAUCCUCUAGCUUUGAAAAGAAUUAGUGUUUGCCUUUGAGAUUGUAAUAUUUUUUUUCAGCGUAUAUUCAAUUUAAUAUUUUUAAUAAUACAAAUGAAAAUAAACAGCAAAUUUAAUUUAUAAAUGUAACUAUCUCAAAACAAUGUUGAGAAGGAAGAAAGAUUAGUAGAAUAAAAAUAAAAUUAAUAGACUUUUAAAAAGCAAAGAGUUUUUAAUGUUAAAAAUAAUUUUUUUAUUUAAUAGACCCAAUUUUGUAUUUUUUUUUUAAAAGAUAACUCUAUUUUAAUUCUGAUUCUUUAGCAACACAGUUUUUCAUUCACCAUAACACACAUUUUUUUUUUUAAAUAGUUAACAUGUCAUAUUAAUGAGGAGAGGUAUUUGAAUUGGGUGAGGCUGAUGAAGGAACUAACGAGGAGAAGGAGCUGCCGCUGCUGUCAUCUUUAACAGAGUUACGGCUGUACUGGUUACCUGAGCUCAAAUAUAUAUGGAAGGGGCCCACUAGAUAUGCUGAAAUUGUGGUAUCUUACCAAACUGACAUUUAUCUUCACACCGUCCUUGGCUUAGAGUCUUAUUAUUCAUCUGGAAACACUACAGAUAGAACAUUGCGGUGGAUUGAAGCGUCUUAUCAGAGUCUCUUGGAUUUCCAGGAUUAAAAAAUCUCUAUACAAGAGGCUGUGUUAAACUGGAACAUGUCUUCCCUGUCUCCGUGUCUCCAAGUCUUCUGAACAGAUAACGAUUAAAUUUGCUGACAAUUUAAAGCAAAUAUUUUACAGUGGAGAAGGAGAUGCACUCACCAGAGAUGGCAUCAUCAACUUCCCUCGGCUAAGACAAUUGAUUCUUUCAAAGUGCAGCUUUUUUGGCCCAAAGAAUUUUGCUGCCCAAUUGCCUUCUUUGCAAGUGUUAGCCAUUGAAGGCCACGAACAAUUGGGUAAUUUGCGGGCACAGCUACAAGUACGUCUUUUAUAUUUCUCCCCUGAUUUUUUACUUUUAAAUUUAAAUUGUCAAAUUCAAUACAUUGUGAUAAUUUCUUAUUUCUUCCUUCAGAUUUCUAAAACUAAAGUAAUGGAUAAAUGGUAGCAAAUCCUUUAGCCAUCCACUGAAUUUAAAAGGAGUGAAAUUGAGGCCUUUCCGCCAAUUAAUAAAAAAUGGUUUUUUUUAUCCAAUUUUCUAAACAAUUAGAGUCAAAAAGUAAAAAUUGAAACUUUCUUUUUAAAUACAAUAUUUUCACAUUAAAAGACCUUCAAAAGCAACAAAUUUGUAAUUAAACAAAUAUAUUUUUGUCUCUUAUGUAUUUGUUUAUUCUAACUUUAAAUACUAAUUAAACACAGUCUAAUUUUUUUUAAUUUGAUUUAUGAUUUUAAAAAAAAAAACAUUUGAUUAUCACAACAUAGAAUAAAAGUUUAAAAAAGAAACAUUCACGGGCCUACACAAUACAUGAGCUGAUUAAAUGGCGACAAUCCCAUUAGCAAAUUUGUGCUACAAAUGACAAAAUAAAAAUAAACUCAGCAAACAAGAUCAGUCCUAAUUAAUUUUGUCAACUAUUGGCAUAUUCCAAACUAUCAAGCAUUGAACCUUUCCAAAUUAAUUGUUUUUUUUUUUUUCAAUUUGUUUUGGUCUAAUUGCAUUGAUUGGUUGGUUGAUUGAAUGAAUGGUGCAGUCCCCAUUUUCAUUUACUUUUGGCAUUACACAAAAACAUCCCUUUCAAGUUACAAAACGACGUGCAGCUCAGUCAAUGCCUUCAUUGCCUAGCGCCUUCAAAAAAUCAACUGCUUAGUUAGAUUCGUCCUUGGCUUGCUUAGAGCGACAGCCACAUUAAAUGACAGCCACCGAAAUGUUUGACAUGUGGCCUACAAUGUGAAUUAUGUGUUAACAAUUAGCUAAUUUUUUAAUUCUCUUAAUUUAAUUAAUUUAAUUAGUUACGGGGGUGGCUGAUAGGUAGUAUCUAAUAAGUAAAAAAUGCUUAAAUAUUUAUGUAGUGAGAGAAAGUAUAAUGAUACAGAGAUAAAUUUUAAAAAUACAUAUUUUAAAAAUGUUAAAAAUAAAAAAAUUAUAUAUUUAUAACUUAUAAGUCUUGUUUUUUUUUUUAAAGAAGAGAGAUUAAAAAGUAAUUUUAUUUUGUGAUAUUUUAAGUUAUAUUUUAUUUAAAAUAAUAUGGGUUUGAUUAAUAUAAAAUAUUAAAAGAUUUGUACAUGAUAUUAAAAAAAAUUUAAACAAAAUAUUGGGCCUAAGCCUAGUAGAAGUAAAAAAUAAACUUACGAACAAGGUAUAUGGAUCCAGGCAGUGCUUGUAAAAACCUAGAGCAGUUAGGCUUUUGGGAGUUUUUUUAAGCCAAUUAAAUUUUGGUCUAAAGCAAAUAGAAGUGAUAAUCUCUUAUUUUCUUCCUGAAAUUCUUGACGUUUAGGCUGGGAAUAAAUUUAGCCUAGAAAAUUGAGGGAAAGUAGCUGAAAUAAUUUAAAACCAUUUAAGAUUUUUGUCAGUUUAGCUAGUUUAGUCGUUCCCUUUUGACUUAUUAAAGCCAGUUAUUGUGCUCAAUUAAAGCUCGAUCUUCAAAAGCUCGAUCUUCGAAUCUUCUUCUAAAAUCUUUAAUUUUGCUCUGAUAUUUAUGAAAAUGUAAUUCAUUAUUAAACCCUAAAAACUUCUAUAACUCCAUUCUCAAUCCCAAAAUUUUGACUUGAUUUUGUCAUAAGUUUUGAUUUAAAUCAAAAGUUAAUUCUAGUCAAAACUCUUACCAAAUAUAAUUUAAAUUUUGACUUAAAUCAAGAUUUGUUAUAAAAUUGAGUCAAAGCUUUACUUUAAUAAAAAAAUAAAAUUUUAAAAUUUUAACUUAUGAUAUAUUUUUUUCUUGAGUAAAAAGUAAAAAAAAAACAACUUAAAUUAAUUUACAAAACUGAACCAUAUACAAUCAAAAUUUGGACUUAUAUCGAAAGUUUGUUAUUUCACAGUUAAUAAUCGAAAGUUACUUUAAAUUAUGACUUGAAGUCAGAAGUUACUUUUCAUAAAUGAUGCCUAGAGAAAAGGGGGGAAAUAAUGCAAUCUGGGUCAUUGUGGAUCGACUAACUAAGUCUGCCCUUUUCCUACCAGUAAAGAUGAUAGAUCCAGUUGAUAAGUUGGCUAAGAUUUAUGUGAACAAAGUUGUAAGGUUUCAUGGAGUCCCAACAUCAAUUGUUUCAAACCGAGACCCAAGAUUUACUUCACGUCUCUGGCCGAGCAUACAACAUGCCUUGGGAACAAAUUUGAGUAUCAGUACUGCCUUUCAUCCGUAGACUGAUGGCCAAUCUGAGAGAGUUAUUCAGAUCUUAGAAGAUUUACUAAGGGCAUGUGCUUUGGAAUUUGGUGGAAACUAGGAGGAGCACCUGUCACUAGUAGAAUUCACGUAUAACAACAGUUAUUAGACAACAAUUGAAAUGGCCCCAUUUGAAGCUCUUUAUGGCAGAAAGUGUAGGACACCCUUGUGUUGGGAAGAAGUUGGGGACAAAAAGCUGUAUAGGGCAGAAUUAGUACAAAUCACUACUAAAAAAGUGAGGAUUAUUAAGGAUCGAAUAAAGGCGGCUCAGGAUAGACAGAAGAAGUAUGCAGAUAUUCGAAGAAGACCACUUGAAUUUUGUCCUGGAGAUAAAGUAUUUCUGAAGGUAGGUCCAUGGAAGCACAUGCUGAGAUUCGGCAUGAAGGGAAAGUUAGCCCCGAGGUUCAUUGGACCAUUUGAAAUCCGAAAAUGUAUCGGACCUGUAGCAUAUGAAAUAAACUUGCCCUCACAGUUGGCCAAGGUUCACAAUGUAUUCCAUGUUUCUUUGCUGCGAAAAGCCGAUGUAGACCCUUCGAGAGUGUUACCUCAAGUGCCAGUGGAGGUAAAAGAAGACUUAACACUUGAGGUAAGACCGAUAAAGAUACUCGAUUGGGGCGAGAAAGAACUUCGUAAUAAGAAAGUUCCCAUCAUCAUAGUCUUAUGGCGAAGCUCACAAAUCGAGGAAGAAACAUGGGAGAGAGAAUCAGAAAUGAGACUAAAAUUCCCCGACUUGUUUAUAAAUUCAAGUACAUCACUCAAAUUUCGAGGACAAAAUUUCUAUUAGGAGGGGAGAAUGUAAACCCCAAGAAAAAUAAAUAAAUAAAAGUGAAGAAAUUCAUGUAUAUGGUUAAAUAAAAAACAGGAAUUCAAAAAAAUUUUAAUAUGAAUUUCCGGGUGAAAUAAUUCGAGAUAUUAUAAUGAACCCGGUACUGCUAAGGGUUGGAUUUAAUUGAAGAGAAAAAAAAAUACACUUAAAGGAAAAAGGGGGCCUAAAUGCAAAUAAGGGAAAAUAUAGAGUAUAAAUACUCUCUCCUCACCAAAACAAAAUCUGUAUAAACCAUAAGGAGAGAAGAUAAGGAGUUUUAUACCCAUUCUUGAGAAAUCAAGAGAGAAACACUAACAUUUCAAGAACCCAUCCAAGAUUUAGAGCUUAUAGAUGGAAUAAACACUUGAGAGCGAAUGAUUACCAAGAAAUUGAACAAGAAGAAAAGAAAGGAGGGAGUUGAAAAUCUUCAACUGGUUGAAGAUCAAGAUCUUAAUUUGUAGCAGGUAAGGUAUUCUAAACAUGAGCUUAAAAAAAAUUCAUUUUUAAAUUCGAUAAAGAAUUGAUGCCUUGAUAUUGAAUCAUAGGUUAGGGUUCUUAGACAUAAAUUGGGGAAAAAGUACUUAUUGUUGAGAUUAAGUUAAUUUAUGUGUGUGGUAUGUAGUUUAUGAAAGUAUUGUGUGAAGGGGAGGGGGAGACAACUCUGGACAGACUUGUCUCCUGACUUUCGGUGAGAUUUUUGGAUAGGAGGAUGAGGGAAUUAGGAUUGGAUUCCUCAUAGAAAUUAUAGAUUUGAAUGUUAGCUAACUAAGGAAACUAGUCUUGCUCAAUUUGAAGAUGUAGAACUCCAGUUAUGGGUUACCAACCGAAACUGAGUCGUGACUGAUUAUGUAGGGCAGUAGGACUGAUUAGUUGAUGAGCAAUUUUGACUAUCUUGGAGGCAGAACUAGGUUAUCCUUCAUUAGAGAACUGAUAGCCUUGUGUCUUAGCUUUCUAACGAGAUCAAUCUCACUUAAAAUGGAGUUUUAGAACUUUAGAUAUAGUUAAAAAUCUGAUGAGUGUUCAGAUAGUAACAGUUCAAAGUCAGACAAUAACGGUUCAAAGUCAGACAGUAACAGUUGGAAUUGGACAGUAACAGUUGGAAUUGGACAGUAACAGUUCAAAGUCAGACAGUAAUGGUUCAAAGUCAGACAGUAACAGUUGGAAAAUUGGACAGUAACAGUAGACUUUCACGUGAAUACUAUAAAUAAGAAUAUUAAAGAAUUGAGUCAUAUGAACGCUUACACAUUGAGAUACUAACUCUGAUAAUAUAUAUGAUAUAUGUAUGUAUGUUAUUAUGAGGAAAUGAACAUGCAUAGAAAGUAACAUAUGAGUAAUGGAUGAAUAUGAAUUCUCUAUAAUAUCGGCUUGAAGGAAUCAUAACCAAAAAACUUCCUUGUGAUUCAGGAGGAGCAACCAAGAUUGGAUCUUCUGUUAGGGGAGGUCGUGAGACAGGCGAAGCAGGUGCGUGAUUUUCCUCCUAUUUGCACUUAUAUAAUUUAAAAUUCGUCUGGUGAAUGCAAUUACAAUAAGUGUCGUGUUCAAUGUAAAUAAAAUCUAGCGUAAAUACAAGAUUAGCUUCGGCUAAUGGCAUCCAUGAUAGGAUUGCCGGGAUAUGAAUUACAAGAUUAGCUUCGGCUAAUGGCAUCCACGAAAGGAUUGUCGGGAGAUGAUUUACACAAUUAGCUUAGGCUAAUGGCAUCCAUGAUAGGAACGCCGGGAAAUGGAUUAUAGGAUUAGACCUUGCAAGGUCACCCAGUUCAUGCAAGUAAAUAAGAUUAUUCAAUUAAGAAUAUACAAAUGAGUGUUAAUUGGGUUGUAAAGAUUUACAAGCAAAAUAUAAGUUCUCUGUUAGAAUUCUUAUGGUUCGAUAAAAAGUUAAUACUUCAUUCGUAUUUAUUACAUGAUCAUACAUAUAUUCUUUAUCAACAUAAUGAUAUAUUUAUUUAUGUAACAGGUCCAUCAAACAUCUAGGAAGAUCAUUAGUUUAGGACUCUACUUUGUGAAACUUAUGUAAAUAUUUAACUUAAACAAAAGGAAAUUAACGUGUUUAUGUAGUAUAUUUUUGUGUAAACCUUGAUGUAUUUAUAAAAUUUCAGCUUAGCAUUUAGUAUUUUAGUUAUCUUGUAAUUAACCCUUUUGAAAUAGUUAGGAACACUUAUUAUGUUGUAAAUACUUUCUUUGCAUGUUAGUAUUCCUUUUCUCUUAAAUUUUAUGAUAUGAUGUUUGGACUAUGUUCAUAUUGAUCUUACUCGUAGGAUAUAUAUAUAUAUAUAUAUUGUGUGGAAUUAUGAGGUUUGAUAUAAGGUCCGGAAUUAUGGGACCUUGUGAUGAUGGGUUGAUUGAGUAAAUUGACAGUAGUCGAUAACUUGGGAUGUCCUAAAUGCAAAAGAAACUCUGCCGAAUUUUUGAGAAAAAAAAAUCCACACUCAAAUAAAAAGGAUAUGUUGUGAUCUUUUAACAUUGAUUGAGUCGUACAGUCGGACUGUUACAUAUAUAAUCUAUGUUCUCAUGAAAAAAGUUAUGUUUUUUCAAUGUGGGAUUUGAAACCCAUUAGUAUAUAUACUCUACGUUCCUAAGAAAAAAAUCAUGUUUUUUCAAUGUGGGAUAAAAAUCUUUUUGGUUUAAAUACUUCAACUUAAAAGGAUAACAUAUUAUCUUUUCAAUGUGGUAUUUGAAGCCCUUUCAUAUAUAUACUCUAUAUUCCCAUGAAAAAAGUUAUGUUCUUUCAAUGUGGGAUUUGAAACUCAUUAGUAUAUAUACUCUAUGUUUCCAAGAAAAAAAUCAUGUUUUUUCAAUAUGGGAUAAAAAAACCUUUUGGUUUAAAUACUUCAACUUAAAGGAUAAUUAUUUUUUUAAAUAUUAUUUUAAACUUCAUUGUUUACAAUAUGUAUAACCUAUAUUUACAUGGAUUUUUUUCAUAUGAAAUAUUAAAAUUUUAAUUUUUUUUAAAAUUUUUCCGGGUUGAUCCAAGUUGACCCGGGUUGACCCAUAAAACUCGGGACCCGGUCCCUUGGCCGGGUCAACUCUCAGGCCGGGUUUAAUAACUAUGGUUCAAAUACUAUGAGAUAUUUAGUUGUUGCAAAUUCGUAAACUAAGGUUCUAUUUGGUAUGACAUUUACAAAUUAAUUUAAGUUGUUUUUUAAUUAAAAAAAUUCAUAAGUAUAUAUUUGCAAGAAAUAAGAAUAUGUUUGGCAUAUUUUUUCAAUUAUGAGUUUUGACUUUCAAAUAUAUUUCAAAAGUUAUUUUUUCAUAGAUAAUUACUGUUGUUACCCAUUUUUGGGUUCACAUAAAAAUGAGAAAAUACAAAAACAAUAUAUCAAAAGAAAUCCAAAAAAUAAUAGGAGCGAGAAAAGGAUUGCUGGAAUGCUGAAAAAAUGCCAAAAUUGGUUGAGAUUCAAAAAUGCAAAAGGUUGAAAUUUGACAGUGAGAGCCCUGUUGAUGAGGAAAAUUCAAUUUGAGGAAGAAAAGUCCAAAAUCAGAUGUUUAUGGACUCAAUUAAAUUUUAUCCAAGGUUUAAUUGAAUUUAUAGAGCGUUUGAUUGCAAGAAAAUUGAUUUUUGUAAGUCAAUUUAGGCUUUUAUCGGAAGAAAUUAAAGUUCUGGGGUCCAAUUGUAAUUUUAAAGAGUUAAUUUGGUCAAAUCAGGGGCUUAAUUGCAUAAUAAGGGUUUAAAAUAUAAAAAAGACUGCAAGUCUACAAGAGCUGACAAUAAGAGCAAGGCUGCUACAAAGGAUUUACAAUGGAAUUAGAAAUAAAAUUUAAGUCCACAUUGGCAUUGGCUUAAUCUACAAAAAUAUAGAAAAUCUACACUUGUUGACCUGCUUGCCCAUCCUUUUUUUCUACUUCUUCCUGACCUCCUAUUUGACUCUCAUUCUCACUCAUACAGUACUUCUUGAAGAAAUAACCAAAACACCUCAUCACAAAAGGCACUGAAGCUGCAAUCAAAAGAUAGCGAAAACGCACAGAUUCAUUAGGAGUAACAGCAAAAACCGCAGAUGCAUAGGUUAUCAUAAUUGAAGCUGUAGCAGCCCAUAUUUCAAGAUGGAAAGGGAACCUGUAAGUGAGAGAUGUAAUGACAAGUAUACAAGUGGAGAGAGCCAAAGUGUUUGAUAUCAAGAAAACAUAGAAAGCACGCUUUUGAGAUGCAUAAAUUGCUCUUCCUACACGAUCUCCUUCUUGCCAGACCCCUCCAGGAGGGUUCACCCCGGCCUGGAAAGUCACUGCUGCAAUCAAGGCCACAACUACUAGCAAAACAUUUCUAGCAUCGCUUGGUGAGUCUCUCACUUCAUCAUACUGAAAUUUCUUGAACCCGCUAGCACUUCUUUUAGUAUUGUUUUUUUUAGGCUGAGACAUUUUUACUUGGGCAAAGAUAUGUGGGAGAUACCAGCACUCUGGCUCUCAAGAAGUUACUUAUAUAGAGCCUCCGUUCUAAAGGAUGGGGCCCGCCCUAAUUAUCACAUGUUUCUUGUUGUAACCCAUUUUUAACUCCCAUAUAAAAAAGAAAAAAAUACAAAGAAAAAAAAGUCAGAAGAAAAAUAAAAAAAUAGUAGUAGUGAAAAGAAGAUGUCGGAGCGCCCAAAAAAUAGCUAAAAAAAAUGGUUAAGAAGGUUCAAAAAUACAAAGAUUAAAAUUUGACAGUAGUUUAUUGACUGAUGAGAGCCCUGUUGACUGAUGAGAGCCCUGUUGACAAAGAAAAUUCAAUUUAAGGAAAAAGUCUAAAAUCAGAUAUUUAUGGACUCAAUUAUAUUUUAUUGAAGGUUUAAUUGAAUUUAUAAAGGGUUUGAUUGCAAGAAAAAUUGAUUUUGAAGUCAAUUUGGGCUUUAAUUGAAAGAAAUUAAAAUUCUGGGGUCAAAUUAUAAUUUUUGAGAGUUAAUUUGAUCAAAUCAGGGGCUUGAUUGCAUAAAUAUUGAAGUUUGAAGGCCAAUUAGAGAUUUAAUUGAAGAAAUCCAAAACCAAGAACCAAACUAGAAAUCUCAGUGUUGAUUUUUAAGUUUAUAUAAAAUAUUUCAUUCUCAUCUAAAAAUAUUAAAAAGUAAGAAAGAAAAUCCAAAUUAAUAAAUAUAAAAACCUAAAAUAUGACAAAAUUUGAGAUAAUUAAUUUUUCUAAAAAUCCUAAAAUUCUGUCCACUUAAAUUCCCAUACAUUAACAAUAUCGUAUAUUCAAAGAAGUGAUCAGUGGUGUUAAGAAAAAGAAAUACUUAUCAUGUUUCUUUUAAGGUAAAAAAUACUUAAUGAGCUUUCAUCAUCAAAUAAAGACAUUUGAUAUAAAUAUCAUCCAUUUUGAUGGUCUCAAUCGAUAUCAAUAACACUUUUCUCUCUCUACCGCUUGAAUUUAUUGACCUCUAUCUCCCUUCUCUUAAUUAGGGAUUAAAAAAUAACAAAAAUAAACUUUUGAAUCAAAAUUUAAUUCGAAAAAUGUUGAGGUACUAAAAUUAUAUGAUUUAUGUGAUUUUCAAAUUUUAAGAACCAAAAUACAUCAUUUGCGAAACUUAUGGCAUGAGAUCCAUGUUUGGUGUCUUUUUCAUUUCGGUCCCUCUUCAUUCAAUCCUAUCUUUUCAUAAUAAAUCAAAAUUAAUUGGUCUUUAAUUAGAACUAAAUUAUCAAAAACAAAUUGAGGAACAAAUUAAAAAAAAAACUAUAGUUUUAAGAGCGUGCGAGAAAUAUCACUAGUUUUAACUAUUCCUAAUUUGUGACAAUAUUAUAGGUAAAACUAUACACAAAGUGAAGAGUGGGAGAUUCUCAAUUUUUUGAAAUGCUAAUAUUGUACUAUUUAUCUUGGAAAUCCCUUGAAUUUAUUCACACCAAAUUUAAAAUUCAGAGAAAUUAAAUCUAUGGUUUGUUUAUAAAUAAAUUUUAUUGUUAAUAUUUUUAUUAUUCCAUAGUUACUUUAUGUAAACCUUACAUUUAUUAGAGAAAUCAAAGUAAACAAAUUUAAUGGACAAAUACUAGUUUAUCAAGUACUUAACUUGAAUAAAAGAAGAUACAAAAAUAUAAAUAUUUUUUAUAUAUCUUUAUUGUUUAGAAAUUAAAAAUAAAAUAAAAUAAAUCCAAACUCAUCUAAAAAAAAAGUUAAUUUUGAUGUCAUCAUUCUAAUAAUAGAACUAAUGAAGAUAUUUUAUUAAUAAGAUUUUGUGAAAAUAAGUAUUCAAAUUGAAAAAAAAAAAUUGUUCAUGUUUUUUGCACUGAUGUCUCCAUCCAUUUACAGCCGGAAUGAAGAACGUCACCUAUUUUUAUGGUCUCUUCUUACUUGGAAGAUAAGAUAUAUGAAUAUUCAGAGUUAUUUGAGUCCACUCAUUUUAGUAGAUUUUUAUUUUUUUAUAUUAGUAUUCCAACUUUUCUUUAUUAUAUCAAUUAAAGAGACCAGUUCAAAAGAACAAUAGUGAAUAAGUUUUUUAAAAUAAAGAACAAUAGUGAAUAAUUUUUUUGUAUUUUUUAUGUGUUAUGUCAAAAUAUUUUUUUUAAAUAAAAAAUAUUAUUUUAAUAUAUUUUAAAAUAAAAAUAUUUUUAAAAAUAAUCAUUAUCGAACUUUAAAUAUCAUUAAGAUGAGGCAACCCUCCUUUUGACUCGGCUAGCCUACUGUUCUGUGGGUAUAUUUUAUUGCUGCAUUAUUUUCACUAUAAUUUUCAUUAUAGUGAAAAUUCAGAAUUAUUUUAAUGGAUUCAAAUUCAACAUGGUGAUUUUUUACAGUGGAUUCAAAUUCAACAACAAGGGCUAUUUCCUGCAGCAAGGAGAGUUUCUGAAUUUUCAUUACUCAUACAUCGCGAAAAAUAGUAAAGUUUCUGAGAAUUUUCAAAUCAAACUUGAGUUCAGCUUGUCGUUGCUAACUAUUUUAUUUUCACUAUAAUUAAUUGCUUUAUCACGUUGACGCCAGCAGUCAACAACUAUCUUAUAUUCUCUUGAGUCUUGGCAUCGAAUUCCAUGCCUUUGCAAAAUAUCAAAGGCUCCAGUGCCUCUCUAGCAAUAAUUAAUUUUAUUUUCCCCCAAAUAUUUAUCGAAAUAAUUAAUUUAACCACAAAAAAAAACAAAUAGAUCCAACUACCAUACCAUUCCACAAUUAAAUGUUUUUUGAAUAAAUAACUUUUUUUUUUAGUUUAACGUUGGUGUUCGGGCUAGCUUGCGCGCACCUCGACUAAUCCCACGGGCCCUGAAGUUAACGACCAUGUAAGCCUCCAGUGGCCAUCAUAUGAGCAAUCACAGGGCUCGAACCUAAGACCACAGAGAAAGCAAACCUCUUAAUUCCAAACUCUUACCACUGAACCACCAUCUAGAUAGUUUGAAUAAAUAACUUUUAAAUCAUAAAAAAAGUGAAGAAAGUGAAGAAUAAUCAAAGUGGUGGAUACGAAUGUAAUCAACCACAUUUAGCGAAAUAAUUAAUUUAAUCACAUCCUUUCUAGCUAAUCUAGAUUUUAGUAACUGGUUGGUGCUGCGUUCCAAAUAAAAAUAGAAUAAAAUUUGAUUUUUUUAUUUAAAAUUAUUUUUUUAUUUUUUAAUGUGAUAAUAUUAAAAAUAAUUUUAUAUUAAAAUUAAUUUUAAUAAAAUUUAUUGAAUCCACAAUUAAAGAAGUAAGAUGGAUAGGAAUGUGCAGUUUGAGAUGGAUCCGUGAGACCAUUGCUAUCAAGAGUUUUUUCUACGGGAUAAGAUGAGUCCGUGAGACCCGUAAGCUUUAGAAGAGAUAAUAUGUUUUAAUUUCAAAAAAUAAAUCUCAAUUCAGUGUGUUAGAAUGCAACCACCGACUAAUUAAUGGACAAUGGACCUUAGAUUAAUAUACUAUCAUUUUUUAUUGUAUUUUUUUUUCUAGUCAUAUUUAAUUUUUCAUCAAGUGAUUAAUAUGUAUAAUUCAAUGGAUAUAAUUCUUAACGUUAAAUGCUAUGUAUUUAGAAUUUUGUUGGAUUGAGAAAUGGAAGAUAGAAAGAGAGACAGAGCAGCUCAAAAGAAAAAGAAAAAGAAAAAGAUGGAACAAAAGUGGAACAGUUUUUAUUAACUAAAUAAACUUAUUUUAGGAAGCUAUAAUUAUUAAUAUUAAAUUUAAAAUUCAUAUUGCAAAUCCUGAAACAUAUCAUGUGGUUUAAUAGAAAUUAUUUUUAUAAACAUAUGUGGCUUAACAUCAUUAAUCAAAAGCUUAUAAUUUCUUUCAUUUUAUAUAUAUUAAAAGUAAAUAUUAAAACCUAUUAUAUUAUUAAUUCAGAUGUGAAUUAUAAUUCUAAAAUGUUUUUUAAAAAUUCUCUAUAUACUACAACUAGCUGAAGAAAGUCGUCUUCAUCGGACCAUCCAGUACCCAAAAAAUAAAAAAAAGAAUUGCAUGAAAGUAAUUAACCGGAACUUAUAAUCCUUCUUCAAACGUUGACCCGGAGUCAAAGUCUUAUUUUAAGGGAAAAAAAACAUGAAUAAAAUGUUAAUGUUAUGAGCUCACUUUCCAUGAUGAUGAUGAAUAUAAAGACUUGCAACUGUUUUUUUUUUUUUUUGUUUAUUAUUAUUCAAAUUGCGUGUGGAAAAUUAUGCCUUUUGAAUUUGAUGGAAAUUACAUGUGAAAAAUCACGCCUUUCGAGAUAAUUUAAAUUACGGUAGUUAUUAUUUUUGUUGUUAUAAUUAUAUAAAAAGAAAAGGAUAGCUUAAUUAUUCUUUUUUUAAUCAAAAACAGUUCACUUCAAGCAAUAUUUAUUAGCAUUCUAAUCAUUUAUUAUUGUUGCCAUACCCCUUUAAAUAUUCUAUUUGCUCAUUGUUACUGAAAUGCUCACGUAGGAGUUAACUUUGUUAAUGUGCCAAUGUUAUUAUUAUUUCAAUUUUGAAAAAGAAUAAUGACUUUGUAAUAAGCUUUGAUUUAAAUCAAAAGUUAAUUCUAGUCAAAACUCGUACCAAUUAUAAUUUAAAUUUUGACUUAAAUCAAGAUUUGUUAUAAAAUUGAGUAAAAACUUUACUUUAAUAAAAAAUAAAAUUUUAACUUAUGAUAUAAUUUUUUCUUGAGUAAAAAGUAAAAAAAAAACAACUUAAAUUAAUUUGCAAAACUAAACCAAAUACAAUCAAAAUUUGGACUUAAAUCAAAAGUUUGUUAUUACACAGUUAAUAAUCGAAAGUUAUUUUAAAUCCUCUAGCUUUGAAAAGAAUUAGUGUUUGCCUUUGAGAUUGUAAUUUUUUUUCAGCGUAUAUUCAAUUUAAUAUUUUUAAUAAUACAAAUGAAAAUAAACAGCAAAUUUAAUUUAUAAAUGUAACUAUCUCAAAACAAUGUUGAGAAGGAAGAAAGAUUAGUAGAAUAAAAAUAAAAUUAAUAGACUUUUAAAAAUCAAAGAGUUUUUAAUGUUAAAAAUAUUUUUUUUAUUUAAUAUAUAGACCCAAUUUUGUAUUUCUUUUUAAAAAAGAUAACUCUAUUUUAAUUCUGAUUCUUUAGCAACACAGUUUUUCAUUCACUAUAACACACACAAAUUGUAAUAUUAAUGAGGAGAGGUAUUUGAAUUGGGUGAGGCUGACGAAGGAACUAACGAGGAGAAGGAGCUGCCGCUGCUGUCAUCUUUAACAGAGUUACGGCUGUACUGGUUACCUGAGCUCAAAUAUAUAUGGAAGGGGCCCACUAGAUAUGCUGAACUUGUGGUAUCUUGACAAACUAACAUUUACAAAACGACGUGCAGCUCAGUCAAUGCCUUCAUUGCCUAGCGCCUUCAAAAAAUCAACUGCUUAGUUAGAUUCGUCCUUGGCUUGCUUAGAGCGACAGCCACAUUAAAUGACAGCCACCGAAAUGUUUGACAUGUGGCCUACAAUGUGAAUUAUGUGUUAACAAUUAGCUAAUUUUUUAAUUCUCUUAAAUUUGAUUAAUUUAAUUAGUUACGGUGGCUGUUAGGUAGUAUUUAAUAAGUUAAGUUGCUUGAUGUUUGAUAAUUAAAGGUGACUAUUAAAUGAUAUCUAUAAAAAAAUUUAUUUAAUAAAUAUGAGAAUUUUUAAAUGUUUAAAUCAUUUAAGAUUUUUGUUGAUUUAGUUUAUUCGUUUGCUUUCCCAUAAUUUCUCAGAUACCAAACACUUUGUUAUGUGUUGAAUAAAUAAUUAACCACCAAUUAAAAGCAGAAGGAACAAUAUUUGUGUUUGAAUCCUGAGAAAAUUGAGUAGGAAAAUAAAGGGAAAUUUUUGCAUUUUAUGAAGUUUAUUUUUCUUAGUUAUGAUGAUUUAUUGUUUUGGAGGUCCCUAAAAGUAGAAUAAUGGUCCCCAAAUUUACAAUGUUUUCCUGCAAUCAAACAGUGCCUUUUUUGAAACUGCUCAAUUAUUAAUCGCUUGGUGUCUACUUGUCCAUUCCAUUGACCUCUUACAACCACAUGAUGAGCUUGUUAUUGUGAUUGAUCUUCAAAAGCUCUAUCUUCGAAUCUUCUUCUAAAAUUAUUUUAAAAACAGAUUUAUUUUACGUAACUAUCUUCAUUUCCUUCAACAAAUAUAUUUUUGUCUCUUAUGUAUUUGUUUAUUCUAACUUAAAAUACUAAUUAAACACAGUCUAAUUUUUUUAAUUUGAUUUAUAAUUUUUUUAAAAAAUAUUUGAUUAUCACAACAUAAAAUAAAAGUUUAAAAAAGAAACACUCACAGGCCUACACAACACAUGUUGGCCUAUUCCAAACUAUCAAGUCAAGCAUUGAACCUUUCCAAAUUGCAUUUUUUUUUUUGGUCUAAUUACAGUCCCCAUUUUCAUUUACCGUUGGCCUUACACAAAAACAUCCCUUUCAAGUUACAAAACGACGUGCAGCUCAAUCAAUGCCUUCAUUGCCUACAGCCUUCAAAAAAUCAACUCAUUAGUUAGUUUCGUCCUUGGCUCGCGUAGAACGACAUCCACUUUAAAUGACAGCCACCGUGAUGUUUGACUUGUGGUUUAGAAUAAGAAUUAUGUGUCCUUAAUUUUUUAAUUUUAGUAAUUGAAUUUUUUUUUAAUUAUAGUGGUUGAUUGGUAGUGGUAAUUGGUGUUUCAUAAACAAAGAUAAUAAAUAGCUGGUACUUAUAAAAAAUCGUAUACCAAUUUGAUCCAAAAUCUCUUAUUGAAUUAAAAGACCUUUACUUUUAGUCGGGGGAUAAAGCAAUUAUUUUUUUUGUUUUUUUUGAAGAAGUUUUUUCUUAAAAACAAUAAAGAUAUAUAUCUAUUUACUAUUUAUGUUUGUUGUUUGCGAAGAUGACGUUUCCAUCUUUUUUUUUAUAUCUAUACCGGCUAAAAUCAUGGGUGAGGACUUUUAAAUCCUUAAGAAUUUAUGUAAGGAGAGAAAAUAUAAUGAAAUUUUGAAGAAAUAAAGUUUAAAAAUAUACAUGCUAUAAAAGUUAAAAAUAAAAAGAUUAUAAAUCUUGAACUUUGAGGAUUGAUGUGGUAUUUAUAUCUUACAUGUUUUGUACUUUUGAAGAGAUGAAGGAUUGAAAAGUAAUUUUAUUAUGUAGUAUUUUAAGUUAUAUUUCACUCAAAAUAAUAUAUAUUAAAUUAAUAUAUAAUAUUGAGAAAUCUGUGUGAGAUCUUGAAAUUUUUUUUGAAUGGAAUGUUGGGUUAAAACCCACUAAAAGUAAAACAUAAAUUCACGUAUAUUGUCUAGAUCCAAUCACAUUAGACUUGAGACGCACCCUCGAGCCCAUUAAAAGUAUAUGGUUCAAGGCAGUGCUUGGACUCAGAGCAGUUAGGCUUUUGGGAGUAUAUUUUAGCCAAUUAAAUUUUGGUCAAAAGCAAAUAGAAAGCUAUUGUUCUGUUGAUUGAUUUCUAUUCAUUAGUCUUUUUCUUUCAUUGACUCGGUUUCUCUGGGUGCUGACAAGUUAUUCAUGGUGAAGUGAUAAUCUCUUCUUUUCUUCUACUAAAAUUCUUGAUGUUUAGGCCGGGAAUAAAUUUAGCUCCUCUUGUUUACCUAGAAAAUUGAGGGAAAGCUGUAGCUGAAAUAAUUUAAAACCAUUUAAGAUUUUUGUCAGUUUAGUUUAUUCGUUCACUUUCUGUAGUUUCUCCGAUGCCAAACACUUUGUUAUGUGUUGAAUAAAUAAUUAACCACCAAUUAAAGCAGAAGGAACAAUAUUUGUGUUAGAAAAUUGAGUGGGGAAAUAAAGGGAAAGUUUUGCGUUUUACGAAGUUUUUUUUUCUUAGUUAUGAUGAUUUAUUUUCUUGGAGGUCCCUAAAAGUGGAAUAAGGGUCCCAAAAUUUACAAAGUUUUCCUGCAAUCAAACAGUGCCUUUUUGAAACUGCUCACUUACUUGUUGUCUGCUUGUCCAUUCAAUUGACUCCCUGCAACCACAUGCUGUAUUGGAGGUUUCUCUACCAGUGAAGAUAGCAUCAAAUGAUGAGCUUGUUAUUGUUCAAAAGUUCAAUCUUCAAAUCUUCUUCUAAAAUCUUUAAUUUUACUCUCAUAUUGAAUUUAUGAAAAUGUUAUUAUUCAUAGAGUUCAUAAAGAAAGAUGAUUACCCUUUUUUAAAUAGUUUUAAAAACUGUUAGCCAUGUGUUACUAAAUAACUUCUGUAUUUUGUAUUAUACUUUAUAUAUAAUUGCUAGAAGAUAAAAUAAUCUGUUUUUUAUUUAUGUAUAUCACAAUACUUUUAUCCUAACAUUAUUUUUUAAAAACCAUAACUAAAAGUAUUUUUUUUAAUUUAUUUUUUAAAAUCGUAAUCACAAAAGCUACCUUAGUGUAUGUUUGGUAAUGUGGUGUAGGAUACUUUUACAAAGUAUUUUUAAAUUGAAAAUGUAUUAAAAUAAUUUUUUUUAAUUUAAAAAAAAAGCACUUUAAAAUCAUCAAAAAAUAAUUAAAAAAUUAAAUUAAUAUUUUUUUAAAAUCAAAUACAUUUUAAAAGUAAUUUGAAAUGGACACCCUUAGCAUUCAUUUGUUGCAGGAAAAUGCUACACAGAGAUUUAUUUAUUUUUCACGUUGUUUUGUUGGAUGUAAAGCUGUUUCUAUUUUCUUAGAGCAGCGCCAACCUCCUCUUGCUGAUCUCUCUUCAUGCUAUUGGCUUUUUUGUAAGCAUUUUGUUCUGUGUCGGAAAUUAAAAGUCUGUUUGGUAAGUUUUUAAAUUAUGAUUUUUUUUUUGUUUUAUGUCAUAAUCCAAAAAUUAUUUUUCAUAAAUAACUUACGAAAAAAAAUAAAUAACUUCAAGUUAUAAAGAUGUUUGGUAAAAAUGAUUUAAAUUAACUUUUUUUAAUGAAAAAUGUAACAUGAGUUAUAGCUCAUAGGUUAAAAGUUAAAAAAUAUUAACUUUUUUUAUUCAAAUUUGGAAUAAACUUCUGAUUUAUUUAAGUCAAAAAUUGAAAAAUAACUUAAAUCAAAUUAUAAAAGUAAUACCCAAUAUAACUUAAAUUUAACUUAUAGUAUGCUUCAUAAAAUUGGCAAUUUCCUGUACAGCAUAAGCUUCUUAUUAAUAAACACAAAUGAUCCAACAACUGUGUAUAUGUUAUUAAAUGAAUUGAAACUCCUUUUGAUAUUUAGACAACAAAGAAUUCGGACCUAUACUUGAUUAGGAUUUAGAUUAUGUCAUUGAUACUCAAACAGGUGUAUUCAUAAAUAAAAAAAUUCAUACAAUUUUUUUUAUUUUAAUCCCAAAUUGAUAUAGUAAAAAAAAAUAAUCUCCUGAGUCGAUGAGUUAUCUAAUUGACCCAUCAAGCCAUGUCAUAUUUUAUAAUACUGCUAUUUAUUUAUAUAUAAAAAAUAUUUUUAUUGAUAUUAUCAUCAAUCUUCCUAUGAUAGAAUAGAAAUAUCUAAAACUCUAUACGGUAAUAUAGAAAAUUGAAGGCUUUAUGGCAUUACAUGCCUUGAAUUGGUUUUGUACAUGCAGCAGUAAUGUUUUCGCGUACACCCAUGAAACCAUUGGCCUGCCUGCAACCGAAAAAAAAUUGAAAUGAGAAAGGAAUGCCUUUGGCUUUCUUCAUAAGUAAACCAAACAUGAAGCAAGGAAUGCCUUUUCUAUUCUUUAUAUAUAUAUAUAUAUGUGGGCAAAUCAUAUUCCUUGAGUGGGAUUAGGGACAAUCAUAUAGCUCGAGUUUCAUUCUUGGAAGUGGCAGAGAGUAUUCCUUAUUUAAUUAAUUAUUGUCUUCUUUUCAGGUCCUUUCGUUUUUUUUACCCCAAUCAUCAUAAUUAUAGGAACACUACAUCCAUUAAGGAUUAUAUUUGUGGUUGCAAUCUAUUGAUAGAGAGGCUGUGGGUGUCUAAGUGAUCGUGAACCUUUCAUUCGUUCCGGUCUCUGCUAUAUAAGGUGUGUGUAUUUUAACUAAUUCUUGUAUUAUUAAUUUGUUUUUGUCUUUAUAUUAUAUUGUUAUGCAUAUAUUAUGUGUUCAUACAUGUUUGCAAGUAUGAUCCAUGAAGAAAGAAAGUGAAAUACUUGUUCAAUUUAAUCCUUAUUCUCUCCUACUAGACUCAAUCAAUCUCUAUAUAUACAAGUUUAUAUGGAAGUCUAUAUAUCUCGUUGUAGGGUUGAAUAAUUGUAAAUACAGAUCAAACACCCAUUAUUAAAAAGAUUAUGGUGUUUUAAUUUAUUAGUCAAUUAGAAAACUAAUUAGUUUUAAAAUCUUCUUAAUAAUACAUAUAUAAAAUUAAAUUAAGACUUUAAUCUUGAUAGCUAACAUUUUGAACUUUUACCUUAAAUUUGAUAUGGAUGUAAAAUCUACAAAUUCACAAGACUAAUAAAAUUUCUCUGUGUUUGGUGAAUUAAAGUAGGGUAAUGGUCUAAAUAAUAUUACUCUUGUAAAAGUUGGAUCUCCUUCAAUUUUCAACCUCAUCUUUCUAUUAUAGUGAAAAUAAAAAUGAUGAACAUUCUAACUAACUAUAAUGUUUGGAUUUAAUAGUGCAUGGCUAGCUUUCACCACCAUAAUUUGAUCUUGACACCAUCAUUCGUUUUUUUUUUUUUUUUUUAUUAUAUCACUCAUUUUGUUUUAUAUUGGAAAGCCCAAAAAUCCACGAAGUAAGAGCAGACCUUCCCAUUACUUAAUAAUUGAGGAAAUUAGAUUCAUUUUAAUCAAAUCAUCUUCAAUAGAUAAAGCUAUCAUGUAAUUAUUUGCUAGGCUAAGCAUAUUUGUAUAUUCACAGUCCCUCUUAAACUCUAAAUACUAUAAAUCUACAAGGAUUUGUAUGAUGUUAAGAGAAAUAUAUAUCCCCUUUUAGCCAACACUAGAUACUUUUCUACGCUACCAUAUGAGGUGAAUCAAUUUUUUUAAAGUAAAAAAGAAUAUAUAAGUGUACUUAACAUGUUUUGUAGCAGGAAAAAAUAAUCUAUGGAGGGGUUGAGCAAAGUGAUUUAAUCAACUUUAUAGGUUCAAAAACAACCCAAACGAGUGGUUAGCAUAUAGUUUGACUAAAAAAAUCAAGAUAAUAUAUUUUUUAAAAAUAAUAUUAAGACGACAACAUAUUAGAUUGACUUGGAUUUACUAGAAUCAACUUAGGUUAACCUAUCAAGUUCCUGACCUGAGUUAUAAGACCUUAAUAACCUUACAAAAGAUAACUAAGAAAAAAUAUUAAGCCUAAUUUCUAAGCAACACAAUAUUGCAAAAUAAAAUUGAAAAAAAAUUAAUUAAAAAAAUGACAUAAAAAACCAUCAUAAUCAACCCAAGUUAACCAACCAAACUCGUAACCUAUGUCAUGAGGUUAGGAUAAUCUCAAAGAAAACAAAAUGAAAUAAAUUAUGAAGCCUAAUAAUGAACUCCACAUUGAAAAAAAAUUGAAAAAAAAAAUAUUCAAUUAAAAAAGGAUAAAAAAAAACUAAGACAACUAGGCUAACCUGCGAUAGAAUCAUGAGACUGUGAUAUGCCCAUAGAAAGUAAAUAAAAAAAAUUAUGAAAUUCAAUUCUUAAUUAAUACAAUAUUGAAUGAAUAAAUUAAAUAAAAUCAAUUAAAAAAUAUCUCAGGUCAACUCGGAUUAACCUGUCAAACUCGGGUCUUAAUACCAAAAUAUAUCUAUAAAACAAAAAACAAUUAUAAAGUGAAAGUCUUGAUAGCUAACAUUUUGAACUUUCACCUUAAAUUGAAGUUUUAUAUGUGAAUUUCUCAUUUGUUUAUCUCUUUACUAUCAAGUUCUUAUACAGAUUCUUAAAUCAUGGUUGGUUGAUGUUUAACUAAGAGAAAUGCACAUAUCAAACUACAUUCUUAUUAUGAGAGAUUCACUAAAUUGAGAACUAUUAUGGUCUUAUGCCUCUACCUAGUACUUUUUAUGAAUAUCUACAAAAUCUAUCCAUACUUUUGUUUAAAGCGACACCCCUCCUUAUGUUCUUAUAGAUGAAUGGCUAAGUUUCAUAAAAAAACAUGAACAUAAUCAAAAUGGAUUAUUCCCUAUACUCUUUUUAUUUAUUUAUACAAAAAAUCAAGAUAAGGUUUUUAGUAACCAUACUUUUUUUGGUCUAAAUCAAAUGACCUAUAUCUUUACAAUAAUUUCAUUUAUGGUUAGGGUCAUAGGAUUGUUUGGCUUUAACAGAGUAAUUUUUCCAAUACUUUUGGUUCCUUUUAAGUUGAUAAACUUAACAUCUUUUGUUAAAAACACAUCUUUGGCUUCAAAGCACAUUUUCUAAUUCUUAGAGCCUUUUGUAAAUUUAGCUAGUAUUGUAUUCAACUUGUCAAACUUUUCUUGUAAGGAUUUAUUUUCUUCUUCAAGUUGAUUUACCUUUUUAUUUUCAUCAAUCACAAUGCAAUCUUUAUUUUCUAGAGUUUCUUUUUCUAGCAAACAAGCAUGCAUAAUUCUCUUUCAAUAAACUAUAUUUUAAACCUAAAUUUUUAAAUGUAUCAUAUAAAUAUUCAAGAGCAUCAUGCAACUCAUCAGAGGUAGGGUCAGAUUCAUCAUCCAAAUAUUGUAUCUCAUUUUCACUUUUGAUAGAAAACUUCUUAAUCACCUUGUAAUUAAGGCAAUGUCUUCUUCAAUGCUUUCUUGAUCAUCAUCAUCAUCCUCAAUGUGGUGAACGGCUUCAAAUGCCAAAGAGUGUACAUUUUCAUUCCCUCACUAAUAUCAUGAGUUUUUACUUAACUCUCGUAGGUUCACAAGUAUGGUUUUGUUUACAACAAACUCUUUCAUAGAGUGGAUGAUAUGAAUGAAGUUCUAGUAUCUCCAUAACUCACUAAAUAGUACUUAUAGGAUUUAAAAGUGUUUAAGUAUAGUGAUAAUGAAAAUGUAUACUCUUUGUUCUAGAAUAUAAAGGUUUAAACCCACUACUUAGAGUAUAAUCAAUAAUAUUUUAUUGUUAUUUUGAUCUUAGAGUAUGUUGUUCAUCAUAUUUGUUCAGAAUCCCUUGCUAAUUUUACAAUUAGACAAGCUAUAUAAUUGUUUCUAAGAAAAACUAGUCGUUGGAACCCCACUAAUGACUAAAACGAUCGAUUGGUUCAAAUUGAUCAAACCAAUCAAUCAACCGAUUCCUGCAAAAUUCCCAAGUGUUUAUCACUGAUAAACAAGUGAUCGUCUGAUUCAUACAUAAUUCUCAAAUGUUUUCAUCAUUGAUGAACAAAUGGUGGUUCAUUUCAUGUAGAAUUCUAUAUUUAACAGUUUUAAUCUAGGUGAAUUCUUAGAGCCAUCUAUCUUAGAUCAUCUUUUAUAUCAAUCCUAAAUGUAUAUAGAGUAAUGUGUGUGAGUUUAAUUUAAUUAUACCAUCAAGUAAGAUGUAAAGAUUUAUAAAUUAAACACUAAAAUGAAUGCUUGAACUUUUUGAUUAAUUUUUUAUGAAAUCCUUCAUGUUUAUUAAUGUGAUCUUAAUAUGAAACAUGUUUAAAGCUUAUUCUCAACCAGACAUAUUAUUAGUCUAUGUUUUUUUUUUUGUUAUAAUCAAAAUAUAAAAAAAUAUGAAUGUCUGACUCUAAAGGUCAAUAAAAUCAUCACCAUUUAGAGUAAAAAUAUAUCUAGACUAGGAUUUGCUAUCAUUAAUAUCUAAUUUAAAUCUAGCAUUUGAAUAUCCAUAACUACUGGUUUAUCUCAUUUAUAGAUCAUAAAGAAAUUCUUAUUUCUUUUUAACUACUUCUUAGACUCAAAACCUUUAGGUAGUGUAAUAUACAUAUCUUUAUGAAUUUUCCUAUAUAGAAAAGCAUUUUUUACAUCUAUUUGCUAAAAUUCAUAAUAUUAGCAUGUAGCUAUAGCAAGAAGGUUUUUACAUAACUAUUAGCAAGAAGGUUUCAUCAAAGUCAAUUCUUUGCUUGUAACCAUUUUCAACUAUUCUGGCAUUGUACAUCUAUACGUUGCCAUUAAUAUUAAUUUGUUUCUUAAAGAUCUAUUUACAUUUAGUGAGUUUUACCCUUUAGGUUGAUAGCCAAGUUAUAUUUUUCUUACACAUGAAUUUUACAUCCUUGAUUCAUUUUAUGGAAUCAAUAUUAAAUAUUGCUUUCAUGUAAUUGGUAGGCUUAUUAAGUAUAAGCAACUCAUCAUUUUUAGCUUAUAUAAAAAAUCCAUAUCUCAUUAGUGUGUGACAUCUUCUAUUAGAUCUAUGAAGUUAUUGUGUUUCUUGAGCUUUAAGUUGAGCAUCCAAUGUUAUAUAUUCUAGCUCAUGUUUUAAUUAGAUGUCAGUUUAUGGUUCUUGAAUUUCUUCAAAUUUUAUUUUUCUUUCACUACUCCUUUCAAGAAUAAAUUCUUUUUAAAAAUAUAGCAUGUUUGGAGACAAAUAACUUUUGCUCAAUGGAAUGGUAGAAAUAUUAUCCAAUAGUUUUUUUUCAAGAUAUCCUAUAAACUUAAAUUUAUUUGAUUUAGCUCCUAACUUUCAUAUAUGAUAUGCUUUACAUAAAUAUCACAUCCCCAAAUCUUCAAGUAUAAUAAGUUAAGUCUCCUACCUUUUCAUAUCUUAUCUGAAGUCAUAUUACUAGAUUUUGUUGGAACUUUAUUUUAAAACUAAGCAACAAUUUUUUAGGCUAUAUACCUAAAAAAAAAUAAAAGAUUUGUAUAGCUCAUAAUAGAUCAUCCCAUACCCAAUAGGGUACGAUUUGUCCAAUUUGGAAACUUUAUUAUAUUAUGGUAAAUGUCAUAAUUAUUGAUUCUUUGGAUGAGAUUCGAAACUCAUCUUACACAUGAAUUUUAUAAUUAAUACUAUUUAAAAAUAAAUAAAAUAUUUUUUUUCUAAAUUCACCUAUAAUGAUGAUACAUUUCUUAAUCAUAUAGGUUCUAUUAUACCCAAUAUAUAUCCACUUAUUACUUUUGAUUAAAGCAACAUAUUGUUAGGAUUGAAACAUAACAGUUACAAUAUGAACCAACUAUUUCAACUACUAUCUCCUUCUCACCACCACUAUUAACAUCUUCUCUUUAUCCACCACAAUCACCUCACCACCAUCUCUUCUUUUAUCACCAUUACCACCACUACUGUCAUCAUUUCACUACCACUAUCACUACCACUUCACCACAAUCUCUUUCACCACCAUUGUCAUCUCACCACCAUCACCAUCUCAUCACCACCUCUUUCAUAAUCAUUGUCAUCUCACCACCUUCAUCACCAACAUUAUUAAAAAACAUUUUACAUGUAAAACAUUGAAUGGUAAAGUAUUUUUCAAGCCAAACAUUAAAUUUAAAAUAAACUAUUUUUUAUUUGCAAAACAAACAUACUCUUAACAUAUAAUUUUAUCUCUUCUAGAAAAUUCAAUAAAAAAAUUCAUUUUUUCAUGUUUACCUAAGGUUAGCCUUCACAAUUAUAAUUCCGUUCUCUAUCUCUUUUGGGAUAUUUUCAGUUAGAAAUAAUUUCCAUUCUAUAAUUCUCUUUUAGGAUAUCUCAUUUAGGAUGUUAAUUUUUAUAGUGUUACAUAUUUUUUUAAAAACUUUCUUUGUAUUGAACCGUUAUUGCUUUAAAUUCCCUCAUGUAUACAUAACAUGAUUAAUGAGCUGUACCAAAUUUUUAUUUUGAGCUUCUAAGAACAUUCCAAAAGUGUCAUUUGAAAAUGAAUUUAAUCAAACUUCUAUACAUUUUAUCCUUGUUGAAUAUGUCAUCUUUUUCUUCAUCUUUUAAAUAUUUUUUAUUUUAUUUUGAAAUCAUCCUCACCAUGUUAUUUCAUACAUUUUCUAUUUUUCUUAUAUAAUCUUUUUAAUUUGAAGUUGUCUUUAAUUUUUUUAUUCUCUACUUAGUAACAAUAUAAUCUUCAUCGUCUUCAAUUCUGUAAAAAAAAUUAAAAAUUGUUAUAGAAAUCUGUCUUUCUUAUAUAGCUGGGAAAGUUAAAUUUUAUUCUAAUAAAUGAAUUUUAAUGCAAUUGUAUAUAAGAAAAUACACUCUUAGAAAUGUAUAAAGAUAUCAAAGGAAGAAAAAAUCUUAAAGAACUAAGAAGGGAAAGAUAUUAAUAAUCUAUAUCUUUUUUUUUUUAUUAACGUGGGUGUCCGGGUCAGCUUGUGCGCACCUCGACUAAUCCCAAAGGCCCUCAAGUUAACGACAAUAUAAGCCUCCAAUGACCCUGAGGUUUGUGAGACUCAAACUGGUGACUUUUAGAAAGCAAACCUAAAGUAUGACCAGUUGAGCUACGCUUCUUGUGGUUCUAUAUCUUAAAUUUUAAUGUAUAGAGUUUUUUUAUUAACAAUACAACCAUAUCAAUAUUCUAUAUUUUAUUAACAACACUGUGACAAUUUAAAAUUAAUAACAAAUUAAUUUAAAGAUAUUAUAGUCUUCAACAAAAGAUAACACCCUAACUUUUGUAGAUGGCACAGAUAGAUAUAGAUAAGGGGACAAGGAAUUAAUUGUUCAUUGGUAUACUUAUACCUUGCCUUGUUGCUUUUGAAGCUUGAAAAGGCCUUCUCGUUUUGUUCCUCGCUGAGCAAUCAACACCAGUGCUUUUCGCGCAUAUUUUCACAAAUUAAGGUAAUAAAAUUCCUAUUCUCAUUCUCUCAAUGCCUAUUUUACUUGUAGUGAACUCCUCUCACAGUCGGCAUCCUUAUUUCUCUGAUUUUCAGACUGGUGGAAAAUGGCUAUCGAAAGUGUUGGUGGAUCCAUUUUAUCUAAGAUAGCAGAACUCUUGGUGGAACCAACAAUAAGGCAGUUCCGUUACAUGUUCUGUUUCAACAAUUUUGUUCAAGAAUUCAAUGAACAAAAGAAGAACCUGGCUUUGACUCUUGAUCGUUUGCAAAACGCUGUCGAAGUUGCUGAAAGAAAUGCUGAAGAAAUUGAGAAGGAUGUCAACAAAUGGUUGGAAGAUGCAAAAAACGAAAUUGAAGGUGUUAAUCGUUUGGAAAAUGAAAAGGGAAAAAAUAGCAAAUGCUUUAAUUGGUGUCCAAAUUGGAUACCACAAUUCAAGUUAAGCAAGGCCCUGGCAAAAAAGAUAGAGACUUUGAAAAAACUUGAAGAAAAUAGACCAUAGAUAUAGUUACAUGCAUAACUUAUUAGAUUAAUUAUAUUUGUGUCAUUUAUGUAGGUGUUUAACUAAUCAUCAUGAAUUUCUCCUUCGUUUAUCACUACAACAUUUAACAGUUUUAUUGACGGACCAAAUCUGUCGGUGUAAGAUUGCCACUUCAUCAUUAAAUUUUUUACCGACUAAAUUCCCGACGGAAAGCGUCCAUCGACAUAGCAUUCGUCAGUAAUUCGACAUUCUGUCGGUAAAAAAAAAUACAGAUGGUUUUACAGACGGAAAAUGCGUGCCAAAAAAAAAUUCCCACUAAACAUAUACCGACAUAAAUAUUCCAUCGAUGAUCGCGGCAUAUGCAGUAAAUAUUUUUCAACUCUCUGUAAAAUACCGGCGGAAAAAUUCCGUCUGGAAAUCCGUCGGUGGUGUUUUUUUAAAAUUAAAAAAAAAACUCAUUUAUAAUAAAUAAUAUAAAAUUAUAUAAAUUAAUAGUAAAAAAACCAAUUAUGCAAAUAAAAUUGUAUUAAACAUCAAAAAUAGAAAAAUAAAGUUAAAUAAUACUCAUCCAAAUAUUCAUUACAAAUUUAAUGUGUUUCCAAAAAAAUAAAUUAAACUAGAACAAUGGUGGAGCUGGAGGGUGAGGAGGAGGUGGUGGAGGCUGGUCAUUUCCGGGACCAAACAACAAAUAUGUAUCACCCAUAUGUGAUCUAAUGUUCAUGACCAUUUGGCGGAGUUGUUCAUAAUUCACCGACGGUUGCUUGUAUUUUUCGAUGAGAUGAGUCGUGUGUUGCUGCAAGGCCACGAACUCCUUAGAUUGGGUGCUCGAUAUUGAUUAGGAGCUCCCAACGGUUGAGACAUUACGGGUCGCCUGCAAGUUCUCGGCCAUAGUAUUGGAGAGCCCGUACACCCGAUUUUUAUCGAGUCCACCAGACAAUCCUACCUUCAUCCACAAAUCCAGAUCGAAAUUCGGAUGGGACGAAGAAUCGUCCCCAUAUAUCUCCCUCAACCGGCUAUUAUAGGUCUCUUGAAAAUGAAAAUAGAAAUCAUCAUAUUCAAUUCAAGAAAAAUAAUAACUUACGAAAUAAAAUGGUUGAACGAACAUACCACGAAGUGUUGAACGCGGUUGUCAACGAACUGUUGCACCCCUUUUUGGUGGUUUUCACUCUGUACGUGCGUCUCUACAAACAGCUCCAUUGGACUCGGCUCACGUCCAAGAGACGUAGCCUAUAAGAAGAAAAAUUAAUUAAGUAACAACAAAUUUAUUAACGAUAUAUUUCAUUUAAAUUAAUCUUACCAUCCGUUUCGCAUGUGUAGCAAACGGAACGAAGCUAUCGGUGUGCGUGGUCACCGAACCAUGAAUUUGCCGGUUCCGAUUGUCAGCACCAGACUGUGAGCGUCGUGUGAAUUGUUCAAACAUCACGUGCUCAAUAUAUUGCAGCCAUAUAUCCCCCGGGAUGUAUUGCGGUUUGAAAUCCCUCCAAACCACCACGCAUUCCAACCUUGUAGACCGUUAUUUUCUGGCGUAUUUUUUUGCUUUUUUUUGUUCCCUCCAAACCGCCACGUCAUUCCAACCUUGUAGACCGUUAUUUUCUCGCGUAUUUUUUUGCUUUUUUUGGUGCUUCAUACUAAAAAUCACACAACCUACUUCUAUAGUGACAAAUUAGAUUUUAAAACAUAAUUUUUUUUAAAAAAAUAUUGUAUUGUUUUCGAUGUUACCUAGUUGCCACGUGAUUUUCGUACACCCUCCUCGCAACAUUGUCAUGCGCACUAUCCCACUUGAAUUUGUGUUGUGUAUAAAUAAUUUAUUUAAAAUAAAAAUAAUAAUUUAUUUAUAAUUAUAAUAAUAAUUUAUUAAAGAUAAGCUGGAAAUUAGAAAUUAACACCAAUUUGAAAUCUUCGAAAUCAUGCAUCGAUAUAAGGUCUCCAUUCAGGAUGUCUGGAAACCUGACUCCAUUGAAAUAAUAGAAUCUCCAUCGACGAUUUAAACACCAAUGAUAUUAAUCGGGCGACCUCAAAGUUUCUGACCCUGAAAAUAAAUUAAAAAAAUAAAAAUUUGAUUAGUUGUUCAUAAAUUAUGUUAUAAUUAAAAAAAAACUAAAACCAAAAAAAACUUAGAAAUUGUAGAUUUGAAUGUUAACUAACCAAGGAAACUGGUCUUGCUCAAUUUGGAAAUGUAGAACUCCAGUUAUGGGUUACCAACUGAGACUGAGUCGUGAUUGAUUAUGUAGGGCAGUAGGACUAAUUAGUAAAUGAACAAUUUUGACUAUCUUGGAGGCAAAACUGGGUUCUCCUCCCUCAAAGAACUAGUAGCCUCGUGUCUUAACUUUCUAACGAGAUCAAUCUCCGUUAAAAUGGAGUUUUAGAACUUUAGAUAUAGUUAAAAAUCUGAUGAGUGUUCAGACAGUAACAGUUGGAAAUUGGACAGUAACAGAUCAAAGUCAAACAGUAAUAGUUCAAAGUCAGACAGUAACGGUUGGAAAAGUCAAACAGUAACAGUUCAAAGUCAGACAGUAACCGUUGGAAAUUGGACAGUAACAGUUUAAAGUUAGACAGUAACAGUUGGAAAUUAGACAGUAACAGUUGGAAAUUAGACAGUAACAAUAGACUUUCAUGUGAAUACUAUAAAUAAAAAUAUAAAAGAAUUGAGUCAUACGAACACUUAUAUAUUGAGAUAUUAACUCUGAAAAUAUACAUGAUAUAUGUAUGUAUGUUAUUAUGAGGAAAUGAACAUGCAUAGAAAGUAACAUAUGAGUAAUGGAUGAAUAUGAAUUCUCUAUAAUAUCGGCUUGAAAGAAUCAUAACAAAAAAAAAGAAAACUUCCUUGUGAUUCAGGAGGAGCAACCAGGAUUGGAUCUUCUGUUAGGGGAGGUCGUGAGACAGGCGAAGCAGGUGCGUGAUUUUCCCUCCUAUUUACACUUAUACAAUUUAGAAUCCUUCUGGUGAAUGCAAUUAUAAUAAAUAUCGUGUUCAAUAUAAAUAAAUCCUAGUGUAUUUACAAGAUUAGCUUCGGCUAAUGGCAUCCGUGAUAGGAUUGCCAGGAAAAUUUACAUGAUUAGCUUCGGCUAAUGGCAUCCGUGAUAGGAUUGCCGGGAAAAUGAUUCACACGAUUAGCUUCAGCUAAUGGCAUUCGUGAUAGGAUUGCCGAGAUAUGAUUGAUAUGAUUAGCUUCGGCUAAUGGCAUCCGUGAUAGGACUGCCGGGAAAUGAUUUACACAAUUAGCUUCGGCUAAUGGCAUCCGUGAUAGGAUUGCCGGGAAAUGAAUUACAGGAUUAAACCUUACAAGGUCACCCAGUUUAUGCAAGUAAAUAAGAUUAUUCAAUUAAGAAUAUACAAAUGAGUGUUAAUUGGGUUUAAAAGAUUUACAAGCAAAAUAUAAGUUCUUUGUUAGAAUUCUCAUGGAUUUGAUAAAAAGUUAAUACUUCAUUCGUAUUCAUUACAUGAGCAUACAUAUAUUCUUUAUCGACAUAAUGGUAUGUUUAUUUAGGUAACAGGUCCAUCAAACAUUCAGGAAGAUCAUUAGUUAGGACUCAACUUUGUGAAGCUUAUGUAAAUAUUUAACUUAAAACAAAAGGGAAUUAACGUGUUUAUGUAGUAUACUUUUGUGCAAACCUUGAUGUAUUUAUAAAGGUUUAGCUUAGCAUGUAGUAUUUUUAGUUAUCUAGUAAUUAACCAUCUUGAAAUAUUUAAGAACACUUCUUAUAUUGUAAAUACUUUCUUUGCAUGUUAGUAUUCCUUUUCCUUUAAAUUUUAUGAUAUGAUGUGUUGGACUAUGUUCAUAUUGAACUUACUUAUAGGAUAUAUAUAUAUAUUGUGUGGAUUGUAUGAGGUGUGGAAUUAUGAGGUUUGAUAUAAGGUCCGGAAUUAAGGGACUUUGUGAUGAUGGGUUGAUUGAGUAAACUGAUAGUAGUCGAUAACUUGGGAUGUCCUAACUGCAAACGAAACUCUGCCGAUUUUUGGAAAAAAAAAAAUUACCCUCAAAUAAAGAGGAUAUGUUGGAAUCUUUUAACAUUGAUCGAGUCAUACAGUCGGACUAUUACAGAGGAGGUCAUUGCAGACCCCCCUAUUUGUUUGGAUUUUCCGGCGGCGACAUGUUAACCCACUCGCCGCUAGUGGCGUGGCGCGUGGAGGAGACGCGCCGCCACUGUUCCAGCGCCCAGAAACCUUCCGCCACUGUUCCGGCGGAUCUUAGAGGAUGUUCCCAGCAAUUCCUGGAGUUUUGGGGUUUUAUUGUGUAAUUUUUGAAUUGUAUUUGAUUUAUUAUGAGUUUUGUUUUUUUUACAUGUAAAAGAUGGUGUAUGAGAAAAUCAUAAUAAAAAGAGAUGUGUGUGUGUGUUUGUAUUUUUAUUUAUGUUAUUGAAUUGUAAAAAUAAAAAAGAUUAAAAGAAUUAAGUGUUUAAUUUGAUUAUAGUUAAAUAUCUCAAGGACAAAUAAAAUCAUGUUAUAUUUUCCAUGAAAGUGUAAGAACAUGUUUCUACACAUAUUCGAGGAUUUAAUAACUGAUUUAUUAAAACCUUAGAAUUUAAUGAGUAUUUUAAAUUUUCAAAUCACAUCAAAUCGCAAAGCAACUUACCUCAGGUAGGGUGCGCUAGGGGUGCUAAUACCUUCCCUAGCCACAAUCAGUCCCUUACCCUAGAAUUUCUGACAACGACUAGUAAAUCUGGGUUUCCUAGUAACCUUCAAUGAAAUACUAGGUGGCGACUCCAAAGAACCAAUCAAGCAAACAUAACGAAAAAUCGUCGAAUCGUCGCGCGGGGGACGUGCGACAAUCCUAACACCAUUAGUGAAACCUUUUCUCCUUGACAUAAUAAACUUAGCUAAACAUAAUGAAGAAGAGAAACAUAAAUAAACAAGAGAAGAACAUGAUUAUAUAAGUAUAGUAAAGGAAAUGAAAGGUAUAAACAAGAUAUUAAUGAAAGCAAAACUUAAGCAUUUCAAAAAUAUAAAGAAAGAGAGCAAGAACAUGAUCUUGAUCUUGAUUUGAAAACUAAGAUGCCUAAAUACAUGGCAAAUGCCUCCUUUUACAGGCCAAAAUUUAGAAUUAUUGAUUUGAUAACUAAUUGUUAAGUGGGUGGCCACCUCUUGACUUUGUGACAAUUCUUAUCUUCUUGUCUGCCAAAAACGUUAUUGCUAACAUCAGAAUUUGAAUAAAUAGUCUUCAUGAAAGUUUUGGGAAAUUGUCUUAUUUUUCCAACAAAAUAAAAUUGAGGUCAUUUAGACUUCUAGAACUCGAGAUAUGGGCUGAACACUGAAUAGUGUCUAGGCUGCAGGACAGAUUCAGACUUCUCUUUUGAUGCUAAGAUUUGGACUUCCAAACGGCAGAAUAGAGUCUUGGACUCCGCAUGAAUGUUUUAGGCCUAUGUCUUAGCUUUCUAGCCAUAUAAACCAAACUGAAAUCCAAGAUCUACAGCUCCAGAUAUGACCUAAUGACUGAAUAGUGUUCCAGUUUGAAUUAAAUCACCAUCUCUUUUCUAAGCUUAGCCUUUUCUUUAUCCUUUCACUUUCAAUAGUUAAUCACAUCAAUCAAUCAUUUGAAUUGUGAGAUAUGUCUGCAUUUAAAUGAGCAUUUACCAUAAAUUAAAGCUAUCUUAUAGUAUUAGAUAUGUUAUUAUAAAACAUGCUCUAGUUAAGGAGUUAUUGAUACUUCAAGUGCAAAAUGAUGAUAUAAAACCUUGAUAAAAAUGCAGUUUUAAGUACUAAUCACUCCAUGAGUCGAAUAGAAUGGUCAAAUAAGGAAAGCCGUAAAAAGGUGAGAUUGGAUUUGAGCCUUAGUUUGUAAAAACUUGUGUCUUUUGGUUUUAUUAAUAGCAUGUUAUUUUGUUUUGUUAUUUCUUAUAUUUGUUUAAGUGUGUUUCAGGUUUGUCAUUGUUCUUUAUUUCAAGUGAUGUCUUCUAUAUUUUAUCUUUUUACCUUAGGAUAUUAAGGACAAUGUCUCGUUUUGGUUGAGAAGAGAUGGUAGUAGUUGAUAUUAAAAAAAAAUUAACUAUGUUUUCUAUUUCAUAAACCAUUUGCAAACCUGUUGUUACUAGGAUGACAGAGUAAAGAAGUUCUUUUGUUAAAGUGACUAUUGAGACGCAUCUUAGUAAACAUUCUUAAUAAGGUCUAUCAGAAUACUUCUUGAAAUAUUCAGGUUUACAAACUCUCGCAUUGUUGUCACUUGAUUCUGCUCAUAUACUCGUUUACAAGUAUUUUUAAACCUUGAUUUUUACACACACACUUUAACAUUUGAUUGUAGGUUGCAUAUUUGAUUAUUACAUUAUUUAUGUUCUUUUGUUAAAGGUAACAACUAAGGGAAAGAGAUAGUAUAUAAUUUGCAAAAAACAAAAAACCAAAAAAAAACCAAAAAACUAAAAACUAAAAGAAAUUAAUUAUAUUGAUGAUAAUAAAAACGUAGAUAAGUUUGGUUUCGUAGCCUCCCUAACCUAAGCAAUUAAGCCCGAAGGGGUGUUUUAACACCUAAUACCCUAAAGUCAACUGACUUGGGAGCUAUUAGCCCAAUGCUUGUUACAUGGGUUAAGGAGAAAAGCUUAAGAGAAUCAAACAUUGCACUAUCUAUGUAUCAGUAUCUACAACCCGAGUUACUAAGCUCGUAGGGGUGUCUCAACACCUAAUGCCCUAAGACCAACUGGUCUGGGAGUCAUUAGUUGAAAGCUCGUUACAUAGGUUAAAGAUGCAUUGUAUUUUAAGUUAUCUAUAUAUAUAUAUAUAUAUAUAUAUAUAUAUAUAUAUAUUAAAAAAAAGAGAAAAAAAAAAGAUAAUAAUCCCAACCCAAGGAAGUUAACCUUAGAAAAACAUUAGAACAAAAUUGUGUUUUCAUCCAAGCAAAGCCCCAUAACUAUGUGUUGAUAUAUUGAGCACAAAAGGAAGGUUUAUCAAUAUCUUGUUUAAGAAGUAUGGAGUAGAUAUAUAAAUUUAAUAAGAGUUUGUUUAUUUAGAUAGAUUAAUGGAAGUUGAAUGAUGAAUGCCUUGCUUUGUGGAACUUGCAAAUUGUUUUUCUAUUUUAACACUUUGAUUACUAGGGACUAGUAAUAAGCUAGUUGGGGGGUGUGAUUAGUACUUAAAAGUGCAUUUUUAUCAAGGUUUUAUAUCAUCAUUUUGCACUUGAAGUAUCAAUAACUCCUUAACUAAAACAUGUUUUAUAAUAACAAGUCUAAUAAUAUAAGAUACCUUGAAUUUAUGGUAAAUGUUCAUCUUAAAUGCAGGCCUAUCACAUAAAUAAAAAGAUUGAUUGAUGAGUUUAACUACUGAAAUUGAGAAGACAAAGAGAGAGCUAAGCUUAGAAAAGAGAUACUGAUUCAAUUCAAACUGGAAUACUGUUCAGUCAUUGGGUCAUAUCUAGAGCUGUAGAUCUUGGAUUUCAGUUUGGUUUAUAUGGCUAAAAAGCUAAGACAUAGGCCUAAAACAUUUAAGAAGAGUCCAAAACUCAAUUUUGCCGUUUGAAAGUCCAAAUCUUAGCAUCAAAAGAGAAGUCUGAAUCUGUCCUGUAGCCUACACAUUGUUCAGUGUUCAGCCAUAUCUCGAGUUCUAGAAGUCAAAAUACACCGAUUUAUUUUUUCUUGGAAAGCUAGGACAAUUUUCUAGAACUUUCAUGAAGACUAUCUGUUCAAAUUCUGAUGUUAGCAAUGACGUUUUGUUCAGACAAGAAGAUAAGAAUGUAAAUGUAAUUAGAAUAUUUUGCAAUAAAAUAAAUUAUAAUUAAAUCUUUGAAUAAAUUCAUUAAUCAACGUUAAUGUUACUGAAACAACAUUAAAUUAAUCACUGAACAAGUUGAUUAAUUCAAACAACACGCAUUCAAUCAAUAUAAUGGUCUUGAAGAUAAGUGAUUAAUGAACGUUAAACAAUUCAACAAGUUGAGAUUAGAAACAAGUUGAUUCAAACAGCACGCAUUCAAUCACCAUAUCAUGGUGUGUAUCUUGGACAAGCGGAAAGCACUUGUCCCCGUUUUGUCUUUUAAAAACCCUAAUGCUCCUACUUUCGGUGGAGUUUAGCUUCUUUUUUUUUUACUUAACCUUUCUUAUUAAUAUCACAUGCAAAGUUUUUAAAACAACAUUAUUGUACACAUAAGGUGAAAAUGACAGGGAAUUGACCUCUCCUCACUAUUAUUUUCCUGCUUUCGUAAAGUUUUUUAUAGCUCUAUAUUCUAUCUCGUGCUGAGAGUGUUUCCAAAAGCACUGAAACGUGUGGUGCUAAACGACAAGGCAGAAUAAGGUUAAAGGGAUCUAUUUUAAAAUUUUACUCUUAAGGUGUACAGUGGAAAUCGACUCUCCCUUGUUAAUUUCUAAAUUAACCAUCUGAAGAGGUUUUUUUCUUCUUGUAUAUUAUUGUUUUAAUAAAAACAAUAUAAAAGAAGAAAAGGAUAAAAGUAAAACCAGAGAAAGAUUAAGAAUACCAAGAGAGUGUGGGAUUGGUAAUGCAAUAUAAGAUUUUUUUAAAAAAAAAUUAUUUUUUUGUUAAAAAUAUAUUUAAAUAAUUUUUUUAAUAUUUUACAUCAUAUAUUAGAAUGAUAAAAAAAAAAACACCAUGUAAACUAUUAUCAUUAUAUUUGUUUAUCAUUAUCUUUAUAUUGUAUUAUGCAUGCUAUCUUAAUUAUGUCAUCAAAUUGCAUUUUUUUUAUGGGAAUUGCUGCUCUAACUCGGAAGUUAGAAUCCAUGUAAACUAUUUUGUUUUAAUACUUCUCCUCUUUUCAACAUAAAGUCGUUCUUUUAUAAAUAUAUUCAUUAGAUUGAUGAUAUGCUAUCUUUUCUUUUUAUUGGUUUUGAGAAAGAAAAAAAAAAGUAUUUCUAUCCUUUUAUGGAAAAGCACAGAGAUCUAAGAACUAUUGUGUAAAUAACUGUUAGGGUAAGUGUGAAUUUUAACACAUGGCAUGGAUAGCUAUUGAUGAGGGGAGAAAGGGAUUACAAGUCUGGUUUGGAUAUAAAUUAUACAAAAUCUGACCAUAGUUUCCAUUGCCAUCUCUGUUGAAUAUUCUUGGCACAAACAGCUCAUUUCAAACCAGUUGUCCCUGUUUUGUAUUUUAAAAACUCUAAUUAAAUAUUAAAUUAACACACAAAAAAAAAAAAAACUAAAUGAGAAGGGUUUUUUUUAUUAUACCCUUCCUCACAAACACAACCUUCAACUCUACUAUAGUUGAUGUGAUGGGUCAAUUAUUUCUAACUACGGCAUAACAUUAUACUUCAUGUUUUAAUAUUAUAUUAGUAAUAACAACUCCUUUUAAUUUAUUAGUUCAGAUAUAUAUUUACUUUGUUUUAUAAAAUAUAAAUAGUAUAUUUUCAUGUCUCAAUUAAAAAAAACAUUAAUUAUUGGACUUCAUAAUUUAUUUUGGUGUGUUUUUCAUAAAGUUAUUGUGGUCUUAAACAAACAUCUCGAUAUUUGUUUGAGCGUUAAUUUUUUAAUCAUAUCAUUAAAUAAAAAUAUUUUUUAAAACAAUUACUAAAUUUAGUGAAGUCUAUAACUCGAAUCACGAAUUUAACGGGUUAAAAUUAUUGUUGGAAAAGCUAAUAUUAAAAUUAUUAUUUUAGUAUUAUCAUCAAAUAAUUUUUUUAUAUUUUAAAAAAUUUAUUUAACUCGGCGGAGUAUAGUUAAAUGGAAUGGUAUAAUUUAGAUCUUGAGACACUAACGUCAGCUGAACUACUUCUAGUUUGGAUCUUGAGACACUAACGUUAGCUAAACUUAUUUCCAGUUUGAGAGUAUGGUUGUGGUUGCUUUUUAAAGUGUUUUUCAUGUUGAAAUGCAUCAAAAUGAUAUUUUUUUUAUUUUUAAAAAAUUAGUUUUAAGAUCGGUGCAUCAAAACGAUCCAAAACAUAAAAAAUAUAUUAAUUUUUAACCAAAAAACAAUUUAAAUUUUUUAAAAACACGAAUUGAUCCACGUUUCCAAACUCUCUGGAUUGAUAUGCUUUAAAUGAGCAAUUAAAAUAUCAAAGGAUUUCCGGGACACUCCCAAGACGUUUAAUGGUAUAUUUAAUGUUUGUCCCUAUUGAGAUUACGACAAGACCAAAUAGAAAAGUACUAGUUACAUGCCCCGCGCGAUGUUGCGGGUCAAUUAUUUUUUGCAUUUCAAAAAAAGUUAAGAUCUAAAAGUGUUAGAUUUUUUUGCAAAGUUAUACCCAAGAGUCUUAGGUUUGGUUGCAACGCCUGAUCCAAGAGUAAUAUUUAUAAAAGUGUUAGGUUUUUUUGCAAAGUUAUACCUAAGAGUCUUAGGUUUGGUUGCAACGUCUGACCCAAGAGUAAUAUUUAUAAUUUUAAUAAUAACAUUAAACUUGCAUGACCCAAAUUUAAGUGGGUUUGACUGCAAUACCAGACCCAAUAGCAUUGGACGUGGGUCUGGCUGCAAAGUCGUGUCAUAAAAGUGUGAUAAUUAAAUAGAUUAGUUAAAAAGAAAAAAAACAACAGGAAGAAAAAAACUAAUGAAGAAAAAGAAAAAAUAUAUGAAUUAAUUGGGUUAACCCUUCAAACCAGGUUAACCCGUCAUACCUUGAAUUCGCAUCGUGAAAGUUUGAUAAUUAAAAAGGAAAAAAAAAUUAAUGGGUUAACCAAGAAUUAACUCGGCUAACUCGUCAAACCAGGUUAACCCGUCAAACUCAGAAUCCGUGUCAUGAAAGUUUGAUAACUAAAUAGAAAAAAAAAAUUAACAUUAACAAUUUAAAUUAAACAAAAAAAUUAAUUAAAAAAAAAAGCAUUAGCCUUUUCACUGUGGACUGCAUUGUCCAGUCCACAGUCAAAGGCAUAAAAACAACAAAAAAAGAAAAAGAAAAACUAAAGGCAUCAGCCGAUAACUACUUAGAAAAAAAUUUAAUAUUAAUAAACUAAAUUAAUUAAAUAAAAUUAAUUAAAAAUAAAAAAGAAAAGAAAAAAACUCUAAAAACAAAAAAAAAACUAAAUAGAAAGAAAUUUAACAUUAACAACUAAACUAAACGAAAAAAAUAAUUAAAAAGAAAAAAAAAAGCAAAAAAAAAUAUUCCAGGUUAACUCGUCAAACCAGGUUAACCCGUUAAACCCAGGAUUUGUGUCAUGAAUGUCUGGUAACUAAAUAAAAAAAAAAAGUGAACAUUAACAAACUGAACUAAACGAAAAAAAUUAAUUAAAAAGAAAAAAAUAAAAAAGAAAUGUUGGUUAACUCGUCAAACCAUGUUACCCCUUAAACCCAGGAUCUGUGUCAUGAAAGUCUGAUAACUAAAUAAAAAAAAUUAUGAAAAUAAAAAAACAAAAAACAAUUGACGGGUCAACCCAGAAUUAACUGGGUUCGCCCGUGAAACCAGGUUAACCCGUGAAACUCGGGAUAUGUGUCAUGAAAGUGCAAAAAAAAAAAUUCUAGGUUAACUUAUCAAAUCAGGUUAACCCGUUAAAUUCAGAAAACGUGUCAUGAAAGUCUGAUAACUAAAUAAAAAAAAUUUAACAUUAAUAAACUAAAUUAAACAAAAAAUUUUGUUAGAAGAAAAAAAACAAAGAAAGAAGCUAAAAAAUAAUCCCAAAAGGCAUAAAAAAACAGCUAAAAAAACAAUUUAAAAAAAAAACCUAAAGCAUCAGUGUUUUAGUGUGGACUGCAUUGUGCUGUCCACGGUAAAACACUGAUUCGUUUUAGUAUAUGUUACAAUUUAUAAAAUAUUUUAGUUUUUAAGUUUGAUUUUAUUCCUUUUUAUUUUCGGUUGGGAUCAUAUUAAACCAAUCAAAUUUUGUUUUUCAAAUUUUUCAUAUUAAAAUUAUCUAAUAAACUCAAAAUAAAUCAAACUAUCAAAAGAUGAGCUUACUUUCUCUUUUUUUCUUGUCUCGCACUUGUCUCUGUUUUCUCUUUUAAAAACCUUUGUUAUUUAAUAUCACAUGCAAGGUUUUUAAAACGAACAUUAUUGUACACAUAAGGUGAAAAUGACAGGGAAUUGACCUCUCCUCACUAUUAUUUUCCUGCUUUCGUAAAGUUUUUUAUAGCUCUAUAUUCUAUCUCGUGCUGAGAGUGUUUCCAAAAGCACUGAAACGUGUGGUGCUAAACGACAAGGCAGAAUAAGGUUAAAGGGAUCUAUUUUAAAAUUUUACUCUUAAGGUGUACAGUGGAAAUCGACUCUCCCUUGUUAAUUUCUAAAUUAACCAUCUGAAGAGGUUUUUUUCUUCUUGUAUAUUAUUGUUUUAAUAAAAACAAUAUAAAAGAAGAAAAGGAUAAAAGUAAAACCAGAGAAAGAUUAAGAAUACCAAGAGAGUGUGGGAUUGGUAAUGCAAUAUAAGAUUUUUUAAAAAAAAAAUUAUUUUUUUGUUAAAAAUAUAUUUAAAUAAUUUUGCAAACUAACUUCAUCAAGUUUUAAAAAGAAAAGGCAAAGAAAAACCAGCGAAUUGACCAUAUCAAAUAAAGUCGCGUACGAGAGAACCUUUAUUAUUAAUAUCACAUGCAAAGUUUUUAAAACAACAUUAUUGUACUCUUAAGGUGAAAAUGACAGGGAAUUGACCUCUCCUCACUAUUAUUUUCCUGCUUUCGUAAAGUUUUUUUUAGCUCUAUAUUCUAUCUCGUGCUGGGAGUGUUUCCAAAAGCACUGAAAUGUGUGGUGCUAAAAGACAAGGCAGAAUAAGGUUAAAGGGACCUAUUUAAAAAUUUUACUCUUAAGGUGUACAGUGGAAAUCGACUCUCCCUUGUUAAUUUCUAAAAUUAACCAUCUGAAGAGGUUUUUUUCUUCUUGUAUAUUAUUGUUUUAAUAAAAAUAAUACAAAAGAAGAAACGGAUAAAAGUAAAACCAGAGAAAGAUUAAGAAUACCAAGAGAGUGUGGGAUUGGUAAUGUAAUAUAAGAUGUUUUUUAAAAUUAUUUUUUUGUUUAAGAAUAUAUUUAAAUAGUUUUUUUAAUAUUUUACAUCAUAUAUUAGAAUCAUAAAAAAAAAUCACUAUGUAAACUAUUAUCAUUAUAUUUGUUUAUCAUUAUUUUUAUAUUAUAUUAUGCGCGUGCUAUCUUAAUUAUGUCAUCAAAUUGCAUUUUUUUUUAUGAGAAUUGCUGCUCUGACUCGUAAGUUAGAAUCCAUGUAAACUAUUUUGUUUUAACACUUCUCCUCUUUUCAACAUAAAGUCCUUUUUAUAAAUAUAUUCAUUAGAUUUGCCAUCUCUGUUGAAUAUUCUUGGCACAAACAGCUCAUAGCUAAGGGAAGCUCGGAUUUCAAACCAGUUUCCAUCCCAUUUUAUAGACCGAAUUCUUACAAUAUCUUCUUCAUCGAUCGAUAAACCGAUUCUGGAGGACCACAAUAUGAUGGUGUAUCUUAGAGCACCACAUCAAAAGAUAAGAAAUUCCUCGAAGAUCACCAUAAUAUCAUGGUGUGUAUCUUAGACAAGCGAAAAGCACUUGUCCCCGUUUUGCCUUUUAAACCUUCAAAGAUUUGUGUCCAGGGGGGCAUCAAGUUUUAAAAAGAAAAGGCAAAGAAAAACUGGCCCGACCACCAUUUCAAAAGAUAAGCUUACUUUCUUUCUUUUUCCCAUCUCUCACUUGUCCUUGUUUUGUAUUUUAAAAACUCUAAUUAAAUAUUAAAUUAACCAAAAAAAACUAAAUGAGAAGGGUUUUUUUAAUUAUACCCUUCCUCACAAAACACAACCUUCAACUCUAGUACUAUAGUUGAUGUGGUGGGUCAAUUAUUUCUAACCAAGGCAUAACAUUAUCAAAAUAAAUUAAUAAACCGUGAGGUGGUGAGGUGAUUUUAUGAUGGCACCAUUCACUAUGAAUCCUCUUACAUUUUAUUAUGAACGGUAGUAGUGAUUUUUUUCUUUUAAUGCUCAAACAUUUUUUUUCUUCUUAAUUUUAUUAUUUUGUGGUCAAAUUGAUGGCCAAUUGUUUUUGAUUUGUUAUGAAAGGGUAAGAUUAAAAGAUAGGGGACCAAAGAGAAAAGAACAAAAAAAAUAGGUGGCAGUUUCAAAAUUAACAUAAAAAGUUCACUUUGUUUGAAUUAACAUAAAAUAGGUGGCAGCUAUAUCUGCUGACUAGUUAUUCAUGGUGAAGUGAUAAUCUCUUCUUUUGUUCUACUGAAAUUCUUGAUGUUUAGGCUGGGAAUAAAUUUAGCUCCUCUUGUUUACCUAGAAAACUGAGGGAAAGUAGCUGAAAUAAUUUGAAACCAUUUAAGAUUUUUGUCAGUUUAGUUUAUUCGUUCACUUUCCUGUAGUUUCUGAGAUAGUACCAAACACAUUGUUAUGUGUUGAAUAAAUAAUUAACCACCGAUUAAAGCAGAAGGAACAUUUGUGUUUGAAUCCUGAGAAAAUUGAGUCGGAAAAUAAAGGGAAAUUUUUGCAUUUUAUGAAGUUUUUUUUCUUAGUUAUGAUGAUUUAUUUUUUUGGAGGCCCCUAAAAGUGGAAUAAUGGUCCCAAAAUUUACAAUGUUUUCCUGCAAUCAAACAGUGCUUUGGAAGAUAAUUGUUAGAAGAUAAAAUAAUUUGUUUUUUUAUUAAUGUAAAUCUGCUUUUCUCUAUAUCACAAUACUUUUAACGAAGUUUUUUGUUUUUUUGUUUAAGCCUUUUUUUUUUUAAUAUUUCAAUCUCUAAUAUUCUUUUGUACUUUCUUUCUAUGGGAUUUAUCUUUCUUUUUUAAAUAAUAAGGAUUGCCUCAAAGUUUUUUUUUUCUGUCUUUGUUAAAUUUUGCUUCUUUAAAAGGGAUUUUUUUUAAUUAAAUUAAUUUUUUUGAUUUCAUUCUCUUGCAUUUAAUUUGAGGCAAUACCUGAAAGAAUUUUGUUUCUCUAAUUAAUUUUUUUAAAAAAAUUAUAUUCUUUGUUUUUUUAUUUUUUUCUAUAGAGUUAUCCUGAUAUUAUAUCUUGGGUCAUAGAUUCAAUAGGUUUACCAAGGUUGAUUUAAGUUUUUUUUUUAAUUUCUUUUUAAUAUUUUUUUAUCUCAAGUCAAUGACUAAAAUCUUAAAUUUCAAAAAAUUGCAUUGUCAAUAGUGUUUUUUUUUACUUGGUUUUUUUUAAUCUAUAUUUUUUUUUUUAAUUUCAAACUUCAACAUUUAGUUUAUUGAAGACUGGGCUUCAUAAUUUAUUAUUGCUUGCUUUAUAUAUUGUUAGCUCAAUCUCUUUACACUAUAAACUAAAAGAGGUGAUAGAUUUACUAUUCACCACCUCACAAGACACAAUUCAUUUCAAUAGUUUUUUUUUAAAAAAAUCUAUAUUUCUUUAUUCCUUGAUUUCAUACUUCAACAUUUAGUUUAUUAUAGACUAGGCUUAAUAAUUUAUCAUGGUUUGUCUUAGUCUCAUAACUCGUAUUACGGGUUUAAUUGGUUAACUCAGUUUUUUUGUCUUUUUUAAUUGCUAUUUUUUCAAUUUCACCAUUCAACAUUGGAUUGAUUAUGAAUUAGACUUCAUUAUUUAUUUUGGUUUACUUUUUAUGAGGUUAUCUUGGUUUUAUGACUUAGGUUACGUGUUUUGUGAGUUAAGCCGUGUAGACUUGGGUCGUUUUAUUGUAUAAUGUUUUUAGAUUGAUUUUUUUUUAUUUCAACCUUUAACAAUAAAUUUAUUGAAAAUUGAGUUUCAUAAUUUAUUUUGAUUAACUUUCUACAGAAUUAUCAUAAUUUCAUGACCUUGGUCGCGGGUUUGGCAGGUUAACUUAGGUUGACUCAAGCUAUUUUUUGUUUACUUUUUAUGAGGUUAUCUGAGUUUCAUUACCCAGAUCAUAGGUUUGACGAAUUAACCUGAGUUGAAUAUGAUCCUUUUUUUUAAUUUUAUCCUUCAACAUUGAGUUUGCUUAUCCCGGGUCACGAGUUAACUCAGCUUUGUUUUGUCCAUUUUUUAGUUGGUUUUUUUUUUUCUCAAUUUCAUCCUUCAAUAUUUGGUUGGUUUGAAAUUAGACUUCAUAUUUUAUCUUAUUUUAUUUCUUUCUAUGAGAUUAUUCUAGUCUCAUUACUUGGGUCACGGGUUUGCUAAGUUAACUUGGGUUGUCGCAGGUCUUUUUUUUUUUAUCUUUUUUUAAUUAAUAUUUUUUUUCAAUUUCAUCCUUCAAUAUUUGAUUAAUUAGGGAUUAAGUUUCAUAAUUUGUUUUGAUUGCUUUUUAUGGGGUUAUAUUAGUCAUAUAACCCGGGUUGCAGUUUUGACAAGUGAACCCUAGGUGACUCGAGUUCUUUGUUUUUUUUUCUCUUUUUUAAUUGUUUUUUUUUUCAAUUUCAUCUUUCAAUAUUGGUUUAAUUGGGAAUUGGGUUUCAUAUUUGGUUUUUUUUUCAAUUUUGUUUUUAUUAGAAAGCACACUUAACAAAUAAUAAUUUAGUCUUGAUAAAACUAAUGAAUCAUUCCAUAGUUUCAAUAACAAUAUGUUUAAUUCUUAUAUUUUUAGUUAUAUAUAGUUUAGUACUAUCAAUUUCAAGUUCUUUCCCAUGUAUUUUUUCUUCUUCCUUCUUGAAAAAUAGAAAAGGAAAAGAGAAGCAGGCAGUUGGGGAAAUUUCAUUAGGAAGGAAGGUAUUUUAUAUAUAUAGUAAAUUGAGGGUGGUUAACACUAGUUAAUGGGAUGUUUCAUUAUUUAUGAUACUACAAGGACUAGAUAAUUAAUUUUAAUAAAUUACAGCGCUAAUUAGUUAUAAUUAAAUCUUCAUUGACAAAUAGGAUUUUAUUAUUUGUUUUUUGAAGGAGAAUAUGUACAUGCAACAAUCUUUACUGUUCCUUCAUUUAGGAAUAUAGAAUUCAAAUAUGGUUUUAAGAGUAUAUAUUUAUAGGGUACAAAUCUGUUUGUAUAAGCAAUAUUUUCAUAAAUUUAUCAAUUCUGCAGCUGGAAAAAAGAAAUAGACUCAAUAUUCCACCUGAGAAAACCGAUAAAAUGAAAGAAAAGAGAAUUCUUUCUUUAUCCAUUAGACCACAAAAAUUUACAUAUAACACAAUUUUAGUUAGAGCACUACAACUCAACUGUUAUAUUAUCUUAAUUAACAAAAAAUUCCAUCAUAUAAUAAGCUAUAGACUUAGCUGGGUUUUAAAAAACUCCUCUUUUACGUUUCUAUGUUUUCAUGAACAUUGAAAAAGGAGCCAUGGUUGACUUUCUAUCUGUUUCUUUCUUUUCUUGGAGGAGAAAGAGAGGAUUGCGCUACUUGUUUCUUUUCAUUUUCUUGAAAACCAAAUAGAAAGUUCUUGGUUGAUUUCUAGCCAAUAGUCUUUUUUCUCUUAUUAACUCGGUUUCUUUGGGUGCUGAUCGACUAGUUAUUUUUGUGAAGUAAUAAUCUAUUCUUUUAUUCUACUUAAAUUCUUGAUGUUUUUGGCAGGGAAUAAAUUUAGCUACUCUUAUUUACCAAGAAAAUUGAGGGAAAGUAAAAAAAAUAAUUUAAAACCAUUUAAGAUUUUUGUCAGAUUAGUUUAGUCUUUCCUGAAGUUUUUAAGGUCAAGGGAGUAGCCAAUCAAAAAGGAAGGAUUGCAAUGAAAAAUUCGGUACAGCUCUUUCAUUUCGCACUUGAGAGACAAUCUAUUGGUUGUAAUGAGGAGAUAUGGUUGAACAAGUGGCUACGAUCUAUUGGCUCAUCGGACUACCUUAUCUCCAAGUCACAGAUCCUUUCUCUUAAUUGGUUUUUUUUUUAAUUUGAAACUGUAAUUUGUUUCAAAGCUACAAAUACCUGGAUUUUUUUCUUCCUUUUCUUUCUUAUUUUCUUUCUUUCUUUUCUUUCCAUGGAGAAAGAGGAUUGUGCUACUUUUAUUUUCUUCAUUUUCAAAGCUACAAAUCAUGUUUGAGAGAAAGAAACAAGGUUUGUAAUAAAAUUACGUAGACUUACAUUUAUUAUAUACUAAGGAAAAAAAAUAUAUUUUUGUCUAAUUUGCUUUUUCCUGUUGAACAAGGAGGCAGAUCAUAAUUUCCCAAACUAUAGAUUGAAAAAAAAAAAAAAAAACAGACGAAAAGUAUAGGAGAUUUUUUUUUAUUAUACCUAAAAGUUAUUAAGGAAAGAAUAAAAAUUCAACAAUAGUGUACCAAAGUAUAAAAUAAAAAGAAAUCCAAUAAUCAAUCUUAAAUUUGUUAAAAAAUGUUAUGUUUAGUUCACGUAUUUUUUUUUAUUCUACAGUUCCUUUAGUUUUUACAAUUUUAAUUUUAGUUCAAAAUUUUAUUUUUUUAACAUUUUAAAUCCUUGAGUUUAAAAAAUAAGAGAGAAAGUCGUUUGAAAACAAUGAAAAAAAAGGUGAAGUUUGUGAAUAAGAACUUUUUCAAAAUAAAACUCAUCGUUUUUUGUAUCAACGAGUUUUAUUAUACGAGAGAAGCUUGAUAGUGGUAGUUUAUUUCUAUAAACAAGCCUGAAAAAUAUAUUGAGUUUCAUUUAGAUUUUUUUAUUUGGUUUUUUUUUUAUUUUUUGAAUGAUUUUGGGAUUUUAUUUUUAAUAUAUAAAAUCCCAUUAUUUCCUUGCUUUCGUCAGGACCGCUGAAAUAAGGUAAAGUUUUUUUUAGCAAGAACAUGAUUUUAUGGCCUCAAUCAGAGAGGUAAUGUGUGGUGCUAAAAGACAAGGCAGAAUAAGGUGUAUAGUGGAAAUAGACUCUCCCUAGUCCCUAGUUAAUUUCUAUAUUUCCAUCAAACCUAUUUUAGGGUUUGAACUUGAACCAUCUGAAGAGGUUUUUUUUUCUUGUAUAUUAUUGCUUUAAUAAAGAUAACAAAAAAGAAAAGAAAAGGAUAAAAGUAAAACCAGAGAAAGAUUAAGAAUGCCAAAUGAGUGUGGGAUUGAUAUUGUAAUAUAAGAUGUUUUUUUAAAAAUAUUAAUUUAAAAUAAAUAAAUAAAUAAAUAAAAUUUAAUUUUUUAAAAAAAUACUUGUAAAAUAUCUAAGUAAUCAUUCAAAUUAUUUUAUUUUCUUAAAAGAAAAAAAAAGUCGCGUACGAGAGAACCUUUGUUAUUAAUAUCACGUGCAAACUUCUUAAAACAUUAUUGAAAUCAUUAUAUAUUGACCAUUAUAUUAUUGUCCUCGUGAAAAUGACAUCUUCUCACCAUUAUUAGAAGAACAGGAGAGUGUUUUGAAAAGCGGGGACAGAGUGAGAAACAAGAACAUGAUUUUAAGGCACGUGGUCAGUUAUUGAUAUAUUAAAAUCAUAAAAAAAAUAUUAAUUUAAUAUAUUUUCAAACAAAACUCAUUCAAAUUCAAUUAAAAAAACAUUAGAAAAAAAAAAUGUAAGGAGGAGAUAAGGUUGAACAAGUGACGAUAAUCUAUUGAAUUCUCGGAUUACCUUAUUUUCAUGUCACAGGUCCUUUCUCUUAAUUGUUUUCUAAAUUUGAAACUGUAAUUUGUAAUUGUAAUAUGCGAGGGUAAUCACAGCAACUCAAGAGAAAAACAACACCCUAUUAAAUCAAAUUAAAAAAAAAAAACAAUUUGAAACAUCGAAGGGUGAAAUAGAAAAAAUAAAAGGACUGAAAUGAAAUAAAACCUUGGUGGAUGCUAUCAAUAGCCUUGUUCUUUUAGCUUUCUGUAUGAUGUAAUGGGCAGGUCUUAUUACUUGAGUGUGUGAUGCAAGAGAUAGUCAUUGCAGAUUUUAGUUGCCUAAGUUUGAUCCUUUGUGGAGUUCCUUGUAAGUCUCUUUUUUUUUCUCUCCUUAUUCAUAAUUUUCGAGAAAAAAAAACAUUUACCGAUCAUAGCUUUAGAUUAAUGUGUUAUUGGAAGCAAAGAGGAGCUAGUAUCAUGCGUGCAGGUGUCAAAGUGAUCUUCAUCAGCCUUCCAUUCCUUUCUCUCUUUGCUAGGUGAGUACUUGUACAUAUUAUUCUUUUAUUUGUUUGUCAUUAUCUUUAUAUUAUGCUUUUUAUCUUAAUUAUGUCAUAAAUUUGCAUUUUUGUGGGAAUUGCUGCUUUAAACUCUUAAGUGUAAACUAUUUUGUUUCAAUGUAUUCUUUAGAUCGGUGGUAUGCUAUCUUUCACUAAUGAAAUUCUGUUUAUUGGUUUUGAGAAGGAAAAAAAAAAGUAUUUCUAUCUUUGUUUUAUGGAAAAAGCACAUAGAUCUAUGAAAUAGAUAUAUAUUAAAAAAAAGGAUAGAUUAGAUAUUCCCAUUACUCAUGGCAUAGAUAGAGAUAGUCAUUACAGAUUUUAGUUGCCUAAGAUUGAUCCUUUGUUGAGUUCGUUCCUUGCAAGUCUUUUUUUCUCCUCAUGCAGACUAUCUUAAUUAUGUCAUCAAAUUGCAUUUUUUUUAUGGGAAUUGCUGCUCUAACUCGCAAGUUAGAAUCCAUGUAUACUAUUUUGUUUUAAUACUUCUCCUCUUUUCAACAUAAAGUCCUUCUUUUAUAAAUAUAUUCAUUAGAUUGAUGAUAUGCUAUCUUUUCUUUUUAUUUGUUUUGAGAAAGAAAAAAAAAAGUAUUUCUAUCUUUUUUAUGGAAAAGCACAGAGAUCUAAGAACUAUUGUGUAAAUAAUUGUUAGGGUAAGUGUGAAUUUUAACACGUGGCAUGGAUAGCUAUUGAUGAGGGGACAAAGGGAUUACAAUGAUCUAUGAACUAUUGUGUAAAUAAUUGUUAUGUUAGGACAAGGAAUUAAAUGUUUAUCGUUCUGCUUAUACCUUGCCUUGUUGCUCUUGAAGCUGGCUUCCAUACAGAGCUAAAGGCCUUCUCCUUUUGUUCCUCUCGCUAUAUUUUAUUAUUGAGCAGUCAGUACCAGUGCUUUCCGCAUAUAUUUUCACAAAUUAAGGUAAUAAAAUUACUAUUCUUAUUCUCUCAAUGCCUAUUUUACUUGUAAUGACUCACUCUCACGUUCUGUAUCCUUAUUUCUUUGUUUUUCAGACCGGUGGAAAAUGGCUAUCGAAAGUGUUGGUGGAUCCGUUGUAUCCAAGAUAGCAGAGCUCUUGGUGGAACCAGCAAUAAGGCAGUUCCGUUACAUGUUCUGUUUCAACAAUUUUGUUCAAGAAUUCAAUGAACACAAGAAGAACCUGGCUUUGACACUAGAUCGUCUACAAAAUGAUGUCCGAGAUGCUGAAAGGAAUGCUGAAGAAAUUUACAAAUAUGUCAGUAAAUGGCUGGAAGAUGCAAACAACGAAAUUGAAGGUGUGAAUCCUUUGGAAAAUGAAAUAGAAAAAAAUGGCAAAUGCUUCACUUGGUGUCCAAAUUGGACGCGACAAUUCAAGUUAAGCAAGGCACUGGCAAAGAAAACGGAGACUUUGAGAAAACUUGAAGAAAAUGGCAGAAAGUUUCCAAAAGUGUCCUACAAACCACCUCUUCAAGGCAUAGAAUUUCUUCCAUCAGAGGAAGUCACGCCUUCAGAAUCGUCAAAAGCAGCUUUCGAACAGAUUAUGAAAGCUCUCAAAGAUGACAAUGUCAAUAUGAUCGGACUGUACGGCAUGGGAGGGGUGGGUAAAACCACUCUAGUGAAAGAAGUAGGAAGGAGAGCCAAAGAGUCGCAGCUGUUUGAUGAAGUUGUGAUGGCUACACUGUCCCAGAAUCCAAAGGUCACAGGCAUCCAGGAUCAAAUGGCAGAUAGUUUAGGUCUGAAAUUUGACGAGAACAGUGAAGGAGGGAGAGCAGGUCGGUUAUGGCAGAGACUGCAGGGAAAGAAGAUGCUUAUAGUCCUGGAUGAUGUUUGGAAAGAUAUUGACUUCCAAGAGAUAGGGAUCCCAUUUGGUGAUGAUCACAGGGGUUGUAAAAUUCUUCUAACAACACGUCUUCAAGACAUAUGUUCUUAUAUGGAGUGCCAGCCACAAGUGUUCUUAAAUAUCUUAACAGAAAAUGAAGCAUGGGCUUUAUUCAAAAUCCAUGCAGGUUUACGUGAUGAGGACUCUGACUUGAACAGAGUGGCAAAGGACGUUGCGAGAGAAUGCCAAGGCUUGCCUAUAGCACUUGUGGCAGUGGGAAAGGCUCUAAAAGAUAAAUCUGAACAUGAGUGGGAAGUAGCAUCUGAAGAGCUCAAAAAAUCUCAAUCUCGGCACGUGGAAAAUUUUGAUGACCGAAGAAAUGCAUAUGCAUGUCUUAAAUUGAGCUAUGAUUAUUUGAAGCACGAGAAAACCAAGUUAUGUUUCUUGCUAUGCUGUUUAUUUCCAGAAGAUUACAACAUUCCAAUCGAGGAGUUGACGAGAUGUGCAGUUGGCUACGGGUAUCAAGAUGUGAAGUCCAUUGAAGGUGCAAGGAAACGAGUUUAUAUGGAAAUCGAAAACCUCAAAGCUUGUUGUAUGCUGUUAGGAACUGAAACUGAAGAAUAUGUGAAAAUGCAUGACUUGGUUCGUGAUGUUGCUAUUCAGAUAGCAUCAUCAGAAAAAUACGGAUUCAUGGUAGAGGCUGGCUUUGGGUUGAAGGAGUGGCCAAUGAGGAAUAAAAGCUUUGAAGGUUGUAAAGUAAUCUCGUUAAUGGGCAAUAAACUAACAGAUCUUCCUGAAGGAUUGGUGUGUCCACAGCUCAAAGUUCUAUUAUUAGAACUGGAUCGUGGUUUGAAUGUUCCAGAGAGGUUUUUUGAAGGGAUGAAAGCAAUAGAAGUUUUGUCUCUAAAAGGAGGGUGUUUGUCAUUGCAAUCACUUCAAUUCUCAACGAACCUUCAGUCGUUGCUGUUGAGAUGGUGUGAAUGCAAGGACCUCAUUUGGUUGAGAAAGCUGCAAAGACUUGAGAUUCUUGGUUUCAUUUGGUGCGGCUCCGUUGAAGAAUUACCUAAUGAAAUUGGGGAGCUCAAGGAGUUAAGGUUGUUGGAUGUGACAGGUUGUGGAUUGCUAAGAAGGAUUCCUGUGAAUUUGAUUGGAAGGUUGAAGAAGUUAGAAGAGCUGUUGAUCGGGGCUACGAGCUUCAACAGAUGGGAUGUUGUUGGAUGUGACAGCGCAGAAGGAAUGAAUGCAAGCCUAACAGAACUAAGUUCGCUGUCUCAUUUAGCUGUAUUAUCAUUGAAGAUACCGAAGGUUGAAUGCAUUCCCAGAGAUUUUGUUUUUCCCAGGUUGCUCAAAUAUGAUAUAGUGUUAGGGGAUGGGUAUUCGGAAGGAGUAUACCCAACAAAAUUAUAUUUGGGUAAUAUCAGCACCGCAUCCUUAAAUGCAAAGACAUUUGAGCAAUUGUUUCCUACUGUGUCUCUAAUUGAUUUUAGAAACAUUGAGGGUUUAGAAAAUAUAGUAGAGUCGCAAAAGGACUUCUUUCAAAGAUUAGAACAUGUAGAAGUGACAGGAUGUGGGGAUAUUCGCACUCUGUUUCCAGCAAAAUGGCGGCAAGCUUUGAAAAAACUAAGGAGCGUGGAAAUUAAAAGAUGCGAUUCAUUGGAAGAAGUAUUUGAAUUGGAUGAGGAGAAAGAGCUGCUGUCAUCUUUAACAACGUUACGGUUGUCAGAUUUACCUGAGCUCAAAUGUAUAUGGAAGGGGCCCACCAGACAUGUCAGCCUCCACAGUCUUGUUCAUCUGAAGUUGUUGUGUCUUGACAAACUGACAUUUAUAUUCACACCGUCCCUUGCUCAAAGUCUUAUUCAUAUGGAAACACUUGAGAUAGGAUUUUGCCGUGGAUUGAAGCGUCUUAUCAGAGAGAAGGAUGACGAAGGGGAAAUAAUUCCAGAGUCUCUUGGCUUCCCAAAAUUAAAAAAACUCUAUAUAUUUGUUUGUGAUAAACUGGAAUAUGUUUUCCCUGUCUCCGUGUCUCCAAGUCUUCAGAACCUGGAAGAGAUGAAGAUUGUUUUUGCUGACAAUUUAAAGCAAGUAUUUUACAGUGGAGAAGGAGAUGACAUCAUCGUCAAGUCUAAAAUUAAAGAUGGCAUCAUCGACUUCCCUCAGCUAAGAAAAUUGUCUCUUUCAAAGUGCAGCUUUUUUGGUCCAAAGGAUUUUGCUGCCCAAUUGCCUUCUUUGCAAGAGUUAACCAUUUAUGGCCACGAAGAAGGGGGUAAUUUGUUGGCACAGCUUCGAGUACGUCCAUUCUAUUUCUCCAUUUUUUUUUCUUUUUCUAAUUGAAAUUGUCAACUUCAAUACAUUGUGAUAAUUUGUUCUAUCUUCCUCCAAAUUUCUAAAACUAAAGUAAUUGAUAAGUUCUUUAACCAUCCACUGAAUUUAAUUGAUGAUUUAAAUUGGCUUAGGAAGUUCUUUAAUUUUUUUGAGUUAAAGUAUAAUUUUUCGUGAUUGCUUUUAAUUUAACUAAUAUAAAGUAAUAGUUUGUAUUCAGAUUAUCAUAAAUAUGAAAAAAUAUGAUUUUAUAUUCCCAUGACCCGGUGCCUUGUCUAUCUAUAUUUUCUUAAAAAAUAUGAAAAUUUUUUUUACUAAUCUGUAAAAUUCAAAAUAUUUUCUUUUAUAUUUUUAUUUUUGGACAAUGUCAUAAUUUUUUUUUAUUAUAAAUCGAAUAUAAUUUUUUUUUUUUUAGUUAAUAAGUAUAAUUUUUUCAUGAUUGCUUUUAAUUUAACUAAUAUAAAAUAAUAGUUUAUAUUUAGAUUAUCAUAAAUAUGAAAAAAAAAAUAUCAUUUUAUAUUCCCAUGACCUGUUGCCCUGUCUAUUUAUAUCUUCUUGUUGAUAAUUGGUUGAUCUAUUUAACAAAAUUAUAUAAUAGUUCCAAAGUGCACAAAAAUUACUAGGAAUUAUAUCUAACAAAUUGGUACCUUUUGAUGCAGGGGUUUACAAGUUUGGAAACAUUAACUUUGUCCUACGUGCUUGUGCCUGACUUGAGGUGUAUAUGGAAGGACCUCAUGCCGAGCCAUUUGACUUCUUUGACGGUGUAUAGCUGUAAGAGACUGACACGUGUAUUCACACAUAGCAUGAUUGCUAGUCUUGUUCAACUGCAAGUUCUAGAGAUAUCAAAUUGUGAGGAAUUGGAGCAAAUCAUUGCUAAGGAUAAUGAUGAUGAAAAUGAUCAGAUAUUGUCAGGAAGUGAUCUCCAAUCUUCAUGCUUCCCUAAUCUGUGGCGACUUGAGAUCAGAGGAUGCAACAAGUUGAAGAGUCUCUUCCCAGUAGCCAUGGCUUCAGGUCUCAAAAAGCUCCGAAUACUUAGAGUAAGAAAAUCCUCUCAAUUAUUGGGAGUAUUUGGACAGGAUGAUCAUGCUUCACCUGCCAAUAUUGAGAAGGAGAUGGUGCUCCCUGAUCUGCAGGAGUUGUUGCUUGUACAAUUACCAAGUAUUUCCUCCUUUAGUCUCGGAUGUUCUAAUUUCUUGUUCCCUCAUUUGAAGAAGUUGGAGGUGGAUGGAUGCCCGAAGCUGACCACAAAAUCUGCUACUACAUCAAAUGACUCAAUGAGUGCUCAAUCAAAGGUACUCCUGAUUUGACUUGAUUUCUUGCCUCUCGUUUAGUUUUAAAAGUGCACAAUAAUUACUAGGAAUUACAUCUAACAAAUCGGUACCCUUGUUUUCUUUUGAUGCAGGCGUUUAUGAAUUUGAAAGAAAUAUCUAUUGGAAACUUGGAAGGAGUACAAGAUUUAAUGCAAGUUGGACGUUUGGUAACUAAUAGAAGAGGUGGGCAUGAACUUUCACUCGUGAGUUUGGAAACAUUAUGCUUGAACUUAUUGCCAGACUUGAGGUGUAUAUGGAAGGGUCUCGUUCCGAGCAAUUUGACUACUUUGAAGGUGAAAGAGUGCAAGAGACUGACACAUGUAUUCACAGACAGCAUGAUUGCUAGUCUAAUUCAACUUCAAGUUCUAGAGAUAUCAAAUUGUGAGGAAUUGGAGCAAAUCAUUGCUAAGGAUAAUGAUGAUGAAAAUGAUCAGAUAUUGUCAGGAAGUGAUCUCCAAUCUUCAUGCUUCCCUAAUCUGUGGCGACUUGAGAUCAGAGGAUGCAACAAGUUGAAGAGUCUCUUCCCAGUAGCCAUGGCUUCAGGUCUCAAAAAGCUCCGAAUACUUAGAGUAAGAAAAUCCUCUCAAUUAUUGGGAGUAUUUGGACAGGAUGAUCAUGCUUCACCUGCCAAUAUUGAGAAGGAGAUGGUGCUCCCUGAUCUGCAGGAGUUGUUGCUUGUACAAUUACCAAGUAUUUCCUCCUUUAGUCUCGGAUGUUCUAAUUUCUUGUUCCCUCAUUUGAAGAAGUUGGAGGUGGAUGGAUGCCCGAAGCUG
rnacentral:lncRNA from 1 species